GUACCUAGGUUUCUAGAUAGAUAGCGCGGCGGGAAAGAUAAGGGAUGGAUGGCCGGAAAGAAGAUUGAUGAAUAAUUGCUGCUUACAAUGGCUUCGAUGGUAUGCUUGUAUGUGAUUAUUACGAAAUUAUCGUAGAUGGAUGAAUGUAUGUCCGUGUGUAAUUUGGGAACUAAAGUUUUCACCCUGAAUUCCUGAACAAUUUACACACCAUGCAACUCUGUUUCGUUCAUGAGAUUUUUAUUAUUGUCAAAAGCAAAAUUCGAUGUUAAUCGACUCAGACAACUGAAUCUGAUGCAACAAUUUGAAGUUCAAGAUCUUGAUGUCAACAACAAAUUACCAAGCGAACAAAAUUCCUAAGAAACUCCUGUCAGUGACCAACUCAUCAUAACACACAGAGUAACACACAUGUACACAUUCUGAACUUCUCCAUGACACAACAACACGGUGAUCUCCCUACUGAGUAGUGACUGAUCAGUUCAUCGAUCAGUUCGGCAAUUCAGAUGGAUCACGAGUUGAUCUACACAAACAGUCAGCUAGCAGUUAACAGGUUAGGAUUCAGCAAUCGAUGAACCGAUCAGGACGACAAGGACUGCGCGACGGAGGAAGUGGUGAGGAGGCCGGAGAGGAGGCCGACGAUGAGCGCGCUGUUGUACGUGGUGGCCUCGUUCUGCAUCACGUUCUGCCGCUCGUCCACGAACGAGUCGUUCUUGAAGGGGCCCCCGACGAGCGCCCCCGUGGCCACGUUCGGGUUGGUGUCAGGCGACUCGAGCCACUGCUGGCCGCCGCAGCCCGUGUUGACGUCCGCCGGGAUGGACGCGCCCCGGUGGUGCACCCGCUGCGGGUAGCUGUCGCCGUACCCGACCAGGUAGCUCAGCUUCAUCGGGUUGUCCCCCAGCACGUAGUCCGCCUGCCAUUGCCAAACAUACAUCGGUGGCAUUUCAGGUUCUGACAAAGUGACAAUCUGACUGAAGAAGUGGAAGACAACCAUUUCUCUGAACAGAGUACUGGUGUUACCUGAGACUGGGCGAACUUGCGCAGGUCGUCCGGCGAGAAGCUCUGCCCGCCGCAGGUGAGCUCCGUCUUCCCCGAGGUGAGCAUGUAGUCGCCGUAAACGGCGGCGAGGAAGGCCGAGGCGACGGGGUGCUGGAGCGAGUUCCACUCGGCCACGUACAGCAACCCACCUUCCGUUCUGAACGCGGCGGUUUCAGAGUCCGGCAGAAGGAUGCACAUGACGGCGUCGGCGGUCUGCUUGUACGACUCCAGGCCACCUUCGUUGUCGUCGGCGACGCCGGCCCCCUGCGACGCGAAGAAGCUCACCCUCGACAGGAGGACCUGGGUGCCCGGGCGCUUGUCGUCCCAGCUGAAGUAGCGGGGGUUGCCGAGGUCGGCGAAGUCCUCGCCGUUCUUGCCGGUGGCGUAGGCGAGGUAGCUGCCGUUGCCGGUGGCGUGGAAGAGCCAGCCGCUCGCCCACAGCAGCUCGUCCUGGUACGUGGUGGAGUUGUAGUACUUGGCGAGCUCCGGGAAGGUGCGCGUGUAGGCGGCCCUGUGCCGGUCCGCGAACGCGAAGAGCUGCUGCGCGUGGCCCAGGAGGGACGACGAGUAGGGAGCGUCGAUGGGCUUGUAGACCAGCGACGCCGCGGCCAUCGCCGCCGCCGUCUCGGCCGCCACGUCGCUGCCGGGGGAGUUGGCGGUGAUCUUGGUCAGCGGCCGCUUCUCCGACAUGGUCUCCGGCCUCUCCCAGCACUUGUGGUCGGCUUCAGGGUCGCCUACCUGGUCGAUGAUCACAGCAAGUCAACAACACAUGUAUAUAUAUCCCUCUUCAGAAUCGGUUCUUCUGAAAUUCAAAUAUGCAUUCUGCAAGUUUUUCUCAUCCACGUCAGUUCUGAACUAUUUUGCACGACGGUCCAGUUCGAAUUGUUCGCAUUUUUGUCAGAUUAAUUAACAACUUUUGAGGAGGAACAUAUUUGUAGAAUUUAUGCUGAAUAUGUAUCGUCAAUUGGUCCUAUGGUCUAGUGGUUAGGACAUUGGACUCUGAAUCCAGUAACCCGAGUUCAAGUCUCGGUAGGACCUUGUUUUUUUUGCUUGGCUUUGUAUCUUACUCUUUUGUGUCUAAAAAUUAAGAACUUGGAAAUGAUAUGGUCAGAGAAACAACUACUUUUUUCUGUUUAAAUAUCAAGAACUUCAAAAUCAUAUGGUCACAGAAAAAAAAAGAGUUCGUUGAAUCUAAUUAUCCAAGAAGAUGUGCAGUAACCUGAAAUCCAUCUCUUUUAAAUUUUCUUUUCCGUCUAAAAAUUAAGAACUUUAAAAUGAUAUGGUCAGAGAAACAACUAAUUUUUCUGUCUAAAAAUCAAGAACUUAAAAAUGAUGUGCUCAGAGAAACAACAAAAAAAGAGUUCGAUGAAUUUGAUUAUCCAAGAAGAUGUGCGGUAACCUGAAUUCCACCUCUUCUAAGUUCUGGUGGAGGGCAGCCGAUGGCGAGCUGAAAGUCCACUGGAUGGCCUUGGAUUAAAUGUGUAGAAGGAAGCGAGGUGGGGAAUGGGUUUUAGAGAUUUCAAGAUAUUUAAUCAAGCCCUCCUCACUAAACAAGUUUGACGUAUUCUGAUGGUUCCUAGUUCAGUUUGUGCAAGAGUUCUUAAGGCUCACUAUUUCCACUAGAUGGCCUUGGAUUAAAUGUGUAGAAGGAAGCGAGGUGGGGAAUGGGUUUUAGAGAUUUCAAGAUAUUUAAUCAAGCCCUCCUCUGUAAACAAGUUUGACGUAUUCUGAUAGUUCCUAGUUCACUUUGUGCAAGAGUUCUUAAGGCUCACUAUUUCCACUGGAUGGCCUUGGAAUAAAUGUGUAGAAGGAAGCGAGGUGGGGAAUGGGUUAUAGAGACUUCAAGAUAUUUAAUCAAGCCCUCCUCUCUAAACAAGUUUGACGUAUUCUGAUGGUUCCUAGUUCAUUUUGUGCAAGAGUUCUUAAGGCUCACUAUUUUGAGGACAUGGACGCGAGGCCGACAUCCCAAACAAGAUGAAGAUACAUGUGUGGUGAAUGAUUUGGAAUGGUUUAGCUGUAGGAAUUGAACUACACGUGCGCAUGAUUAAACCGGGGAUAUUUUGUGUCGCGUGUGGCAGAGAAGAUGCCAUUGUGCAUCAAUUCUGGCGUUGUCCGCAUUUUGUUCAUUUUUGGAAACUGCUAUGUGAUGAGGUUGUGGCGCCAGAGCAUCCACAAUGUGCAGUUUUGCUGUGGGCAUCGAUAAGUCCUCUGUCCUACUACAGGUGGUGCGACAACCUUUACCAAGUCCAAACGAUUGUCAACUACCAGAUCCGCUGGUCCGCUAUAUUCACCCUAGCCCAGAAGCACAAAUCUUCGGCGUGGAAUAUAAUCCUAAAGCUUUUGAAAUGCUUCUAAUAACCAACGAAUGGCAAGUGCUCUUCCUUGUUUAGAUCCUAUUCCAAUCGGAACUUUCCGCGUCGAUCCUUUUUUUUUUACGUCUUGUUUUUACUCCUAUAUUGGGAGUUACUCUAUGUAUUGCUUGACGUAAAACAUUGGACAAUUCAUUUGUAAAAAUGUAUGUCUAUUUAAAUCGCACAUAAAAAAAUCUAGUCAAAUUUUCAUUGUAAAUAUGAAUUCUUUUGUUAUAAGAGCAGCUAAACCUUAUUUGGCCACUACAGGAGCAACUGGUAAUGGUCAUUAUGGAGAAAUCCUUUAGAAGGGAGAUAGGUUAGUUUCUAUAGUUGUCCCUAAGCUUUGGAGGCUGCCUCUAUACAUUGGAUGGAGGUGCCUCUAACAAAAAAUCCUUAGCAUCGCCUACAAGCUUUUGUUUCAACUAAAGUAUUCAUUUGUCCCUGUAUGUCAUCCCUGUUUUUGUGGGACCGAUGUAGAGGAUGCACUAAACUGCCAUACAUUGCAGCGUUUUGGCUAAUCUUAGAGGCAGCAAUGUCGACCCCAACAUUUUUGUCAGAUUAAUUAAUAAGCUUUUGAGACGGAACAUAUUUGUAGGCUUUAAGCUGAACAUAUAGCAUCAAACGGUCCUAUGGUCUAGUGGUUAGGACAUUGGACUCUGAAUCCAGUAACCCGAGUUCAAGUCUCGGUAGGACCUUUUGUUUUGUUUGGCUUUGUAUCUUACUCUUUUCCGUCUUGUUUUUUUUCUUCGUUUGGCUUUUGUAUCUUACUCUUUUCUGUCUAAGAAUUAAGAACUUUGAAAUGAUAUGGUCAGAGAAGCAACUACUUUUUUCUGUUUAAAUAUCAAGAACUUCAAAAUCAUAUAGUCAGAGAAACAACAAAAAAAGAGUUCGAUGAAUCUGAUUAUCCAAGAAGAUGUGCGGUAACAUGAAAUCCAUAUCUUCUAAAUUUUCUUUUCCGUCUACAAAUUAAGAACUUUAAAAUGAUAUGGUCAUAGAAACAAUUACUUUUUCUAUCUCGAAAUCAAGAACUUCAAAAUGAUGUGGUCAGAGAAACAGCAAAAAAAGAGUUCGCUGAAUCUGAUUAUCCAAGAUGUGCGGUAACUUGAAUUCCAUCUCUUCUAAAUUUUGGUGGAGGGCAUCCGAUGGCGAGUAGAAAGUACAAUGGAUGACCUUGGAUUAAUUGCGUAGAAGGAAGCGAGGUGGGGCAUGGAUCUAAGAGAUUUCAAGAUAUUUAGGCCCUGUUCGGAUCCUCUCCACUCCCCAACUGCAGCUCCCGGAGCGGAGGGAGCGCCAACAUAAUUGCAGGGAGGGGCUCGAACCCAGCUCCUCACGCGGAGUGGAGUUACGAGACUGGAGAGUUUGUGAAAUGCAGUUAAUCCAGCCCUGGACACUAAAAAAGUUUGACAUAUUCUAAUGGUUCCUAGUUCACUUUGUGCAAGAGUUCUUAAGGCUCACUAUUCUGAGGACAUGGACACGAGGCCGACGUCCCAAACAAGAUGAAGAUACAUGCGUGGUGAAUGAUUUGGAAUGGUUUUAGCUGUAGGAAUUGAACUACACAGGCGCAUGAUUAAAACGUAGAUAUUUUGUGUCGUGUGUGGUAGAGAAGAUGCCAUUAUGUAUCAAUUCUAGCGCUGUACAUAUUCUGUUGAUUUUUGAAAACUGCUACAUGAUGAGUUUGUGGCGCCAGAGCAUCCACAAUGUGCAGUUUUGCCGCCUCUAAGCCUUUGGAGGUUGCCUCCAUACAUUGCAUGUGUUAGGAAUGGGCAACUACAUUCACAGGAGGGCCAAGGGCCAGUACAUAUACAUGUGUAUGGUAAAGUGCAAGAGAGACUAUACACAUCUAACACCCCCCCCCCUCAAACUCAUGGUGGAUCAACAACACUGAGUUUGGAGAGAAGAAAACUAUGCUGCGCUUGAGUCUGUGCCUUCGUGAAGAAGUCUGCCAACUGUAACUCAGAGGUCACAUAGUGAAGAGCGAGAGUCUGAUCCUGCACAGCAGCACGCACAAAGUGGGCAUCCACACCGAUGUGCUUGGUGAGCUCAUGCUUCACCGGAUCACGCGCAAUACUGAUAGCACCAGUACUGUCUGACAAUAAGGGAGUCGAGGUAGUAGCAGACACACCAAAGUCCUCAAGUAACCACCAUAACCAGAUCACCUCAGCCGUCAGCAUAGCCAUGGCUCGCAACUCAGCCUCUGUACUCGAGCGAGAAACGGCAGUCUGUUUCUUUGUCUUCCAGGCAAUAAGAGAGCCACCAAGAAAGACACAAUAAGCAGACAGCGAGCGUCGAUCAGAGGGAUCACUAGCCCAGGUAGCAUCAGAGUAGGCCUGGAGCUCAAGAGAGUUGGAGCGGGGAAAGAAAAGGCGCUGAGAGAGCGUGCCACGAAGAUAUCGUAGAACACGGAGGAGAUGACUAUAGUGGACAGAGGUGGGGGCUGAAACGAACUGACUCAGGAUAUGAACAGGAUAGGAGAUAUCAGGACGCGUAACAGCAAGAUAGACAAGACUGCCAACAAGGUGACGAUAGCGAGUGGGGUUAGGGAGAGGGUCACCAUCAGAAGCACGAAGCUGAACGUUGAGUACCAUAGGAGUCACAACUGUGCGCUCAUCACCGAGAGCAGUGCGAGCAAGAAGAUCCUGAAUAUAUUUUUCUUGGGAGAUGUAGAAGCCAUCAGAGGUCGAGGAGAUCUCAAUCCCAAGAAAAUAGCGAAGUGGAUCAAGAUCAGUCAUGAGGAACUGGUCGCGAAGGCGAGCCUUAGCAAAGGCUAUGUAGUCAGAGUCGUCACCAGUGAUGAUCAUGUCAUCAAUAUAGAGAAGGAGCAGAGUCCGACCACGAGGAGACGUGUGAACAAACAACGCAGGAUCAUGAUCACUGGGCAAGAAGCCAGCGGCAGUCACCACAGAGGCGAAGCGCUCAAACCAGGCUCGAGGGGCCUGUUUAAGACCAUAGAGGGAGCGACAAAGUUGACAGACCAAACCAUCAGGAGCAUAGUACCCCGGUGGUGGCUGCAUAUAAACCUCCUCACGCAACUCGUCAUUAAGAAAAGCGUUCUGAACAUCAAGUUGAGAGAUAGACCAAUGACGAACAGAAGCAACAGCAAGAAGAGUGCGAACAGUGAUCAUGUGGGCCACAGGAGCGAAUGUCUCAUCAUAAUCGCGUCCCUGCUCCUGCUGAAAACCACGGGCCACAAGGCGCGCUUUGUAGCGCUCAAGAGAACCAUCAGAGCGAGUCUUAAUCUUGUAGACCCACUUGCAGGUGAUGGGACGGACACCGGAAGGGAGGGAAACCAGAUCCCAUGUGCCAGAGCGCUCAAGGGCAGCAAGCUCUUCGGCCAUCGCAAGCUGCCAUUCAGGCUGAGUCAUGGCAGUCCGAUAGGAAGUGGGCUCAGCAAUAAUAGAGAGACCGUACCGAUCAGGAGAGUAGCGAUCAGGCGGGGGGCGAGGCCGAGCACGGAGGUUAUGAAACGGGGGAGGGGUGAAAGGAGGUGCACCAGAGGUGGAAGGCGCAUCAGGGGAAACAUCCUCAGAACGAGGGCGACGAGUAUAGUGAAGAGGAAAUGGUGAGAGAGGGCGACGGACUGGAGAUGAUGGUGGAGAGUUGGAGGAGGAGGAUGGGGAAGAUGGUGUCGGUGGUGAAGGAGAAGGAAGGAGAGGUGCAGGCGGAGGAGGAAAAACAUGAGGAGGCACAUAGCAGGGUGUAUCAGGGAGAAGAAGAAAAGAAAGAUCGUCCACAGAGAAGCUCGAGGUAGAAGGACGUGGGUAGUAAGAGCGAGACUCGUCAAAGGUCACAUCACGCGAGAUGCGCAAACGACGACCAACAGGAUCCCAACAGAGAUAGCCCUUGUGCUCAUCACUGUAGCCAAGAAAAAACACACUCAACCGACUGAGCAGUCAGUUUGGUGCGUUCUCGCGGGGCAAGAAGGACAUAGCACACACAUCCAAACAUACGAAGAGCUGAGUAGUCAGGAGAGCGACCAGUGAGACACUCCAUAGGAAUACCACCCUGCAGAGCAGUCGAUGGCUAUAUGUUGAUGAGAUAGGUGGAUGCAGAACAGCCUCAGCCCAAAAAUGGGGUGGGAGAGAAGCGGCAAUCAUCAGAGCACGAGCCGUCUCAAGUAGAUGACGAUGCUUACGUCCGGCAACGCCAUUCUGAGCAUGUGCACCAGGACAUGAGAACUGGGCAAGAGUACCCUGUUCCGCAAGAAAACCACGCAACAGCUGGGAGAUAAACUCACCAGCGGAGUCAGCACGAAAAGUACGAAUGGGCGUGGAAAACUGGGUGUGAACCAUGGCAGCAAAACGUUUGUAUAUAGAGAGAACCUCGCUAUGAGAUUUCAUAAAGUAGAGCCAAGUGUAGUGAGAGAAAUCAUCAAUAAACAAGAUAUAGUAGCGGUGACCACCUUUCGAAUCAAAGGGAGCAGGACCCCAUACAUCAGAAUGAACUAAGUCAAAAGGACGCUGAGAUACCGACUCACUGGUAGGAUAAGGUAACUGGGUCUGUUUGCCAAGUCUGCAGCCAUUACAAUGUAAAGAAACAUCUCCAGAUACAGACCCUAAGAGGCCCUGACGAACUAAAGAAGACAAGCGAGAGCCACAUAUGUGACCAAGGCGAUGAUGCCACUGCUGGAAUGACGCAGACGAAGAGGCAGCAAGAGCAUGGGAGCUGGCUGAAGUGGUGGCAGCGGAAGGAACACAAAGCCAGUCAACCUCCCAAAGGCCCUCUGACUCACGGCGCCGGGGGCGAGCACCAACCAAAGCCUUGGUGCGACGAUCAUGAAUGGAGCAAGAGUCGGUAUCAAGAAUGACACGUCAACCAGAAUCAGUAAGUUGGGCAGCGGAAAAAAGAUUCAUGGUGAGGCGAGGAACAUGUAAAACACUAGGAACAGAAAAAGAUGGAGUGGAAAGAAGACCACGGCUAGCAACAGGAAGAGGUGUGCCAUCAGUGGUAAGAACAUUAACAGGCGAAUCAAGAGGUCGGAGAGAAGACAGCACGGAAGAAUCAGAAGACAUAUGAAAAGAGGCUCCAGAAUCCAGAACCCACGAAGAUGUACCUGACUGUGUAGAUGCCUACGGUGGUGGAGCAGUGGCUGCAGUCACAGCAGCAGCGGAACCGGUCGACGAAGAGCCUGAGGAAGCUAAGAGACGCUUGAGCCUCAUAAUGUCCUGGUCAGUGAAUGACGGGGUCGAGGAGAAUUCAGGAGUCCCACUGGAAGAGGAGCGCCUCUGGUCUCGCUUCUUCUCACGGCAAUCAGACUCUGGGUGACCUGGCCGAGAGCAGUAGCCACAGAAGGUGUCACGGCGCGACCGGCCCCUCUUAGCAUAAGAAGGACGACCCACCCCCUGAAGGAGUAGGCAGGAGCGGUGGAGCGGUGAGGCGAGCAGGUGGCAUAGAAGCUCGGGCGGCCAACACUGAUGGAACCACAAGUAACCCAGCAGAGCGUAGGCGGGUCUCUUCAGCACGAAGCUCAGCAAGUACCUCCGAGAUAGGAACACGACCACGAGCGAGCAGGUGAGCACGGCGAGGCUCGAACUCAAAGCGAAGACGAGAUAAGAACUCGUGAACCCGCUGAAACUCCAAAUCGGACCGUGUAGUCUGACAGCAACGGCAAGUUCCACAAACGACGGUCCGAAGAGAGUCAAGCUGACACCAGAUGGCAGAGCACUGUGAAUAGAACUCAUCAACAGAGGAAUCACCUUGCUGGAGUGCAUGCUCCUGACGCACCACAGAUAGGUAGAGAGCAUCACCAGAGGGCUGAUAGCGCUGGCAGAGAUAAGACCACAUCGCUGCAACUGUGCCAAGUCCCAUGAACUCCGAGGCGAACUGAGGAAGGACACUCGCAGUAAGAACAGCAGCAGCACGAGCAUCAUCGUUGCACCACUGAGUGUAAGCAGACAGAUCAUCACGAUAGGCAGAAAGGGCAUCCGAAUAGGCUGACAUCUGCUGAUCAUAGGCAUCAACUGCAGUAUCAUCGAGAGCCUUGGCGGCAUCACGAUCAGCCUGAGAAGCAUCAGCAGCAAGAACCGGCGGUGCUGGCGGGGUAGGAGCCACUGGAGCAACAGGGCAAGGCGGACAGGGGACCUCGCCAGAGAGAACACCCUACAGAAGGAGACCGCGCAUGUGGAUACGCAUAAAGCCCGCAAACUCGGCAUAGUUGGUGCCAUCGAAGAUCACCGAGCACCGAGGAACGGCGACAUAGCCCGAAGAAGACAUGAGGAGCUCUUUUUUUUGUCAACUGCUACAGUAGACUGCUACAGGAGACCCCGAUCUAGAUCGGGAUCGGGCUCGCGCUGGCUCGAUCCAGCCCCGAUGGAGGAAGGGGGGAGGGUGAGCGUGGGAGGGGCCGGCCCUGGGCAGCACCGGCUGCAGCAGGAGGCGGCCAAGGGCGACAGGGCGCGGGGAGGUCGCGGCCGGGCGCGGGGANNNNNNNNNNNNNNNNNNNNNNNNNNNNNNNNNNNNNNNNNNNNNNNNNNNNNNNNNNNNNNNNNNNNNNNNNNNNNNNNNNNNNNNNNNNNNNNNNNNNNNNNNNNNNNNNNNNNNNNNNNNNNNNNNNNNNNNNNNNNNNNNNNNNNNNNNNNNNNNNNNNNNNNNNNNNNNNNNNNNNNNNNNNNNNNNNNNNNNNNNNNNNNNNNNNNNNNNNNNNNNNNNNNNNNNNNNNNNNNNNNNNNNNNNNNNNNNNNNNNNNNNNNNNNNNNNNNNNNNNNNNNNNNNNNNNNNNNNNNNNNNNNNNNNNNNNNNNNNNNNNNNNNNNNNNNNNNNNNNNNNNNNNNNNNNNNNNNNNNNNNCAGGCCGCGGCCGCGCUCGGGGCGGCGCGGGACAGCGACGGCAGGCCGCGGCCGAGCUUGGGGCAGCGCAGGCCGGGGCAAGACGGCGUGGCGGCGGGGAGGGAGAGAGCCGGGGGCGAGGGAGGAGGUGGCCGGCGCCGGCGACGAGGUAGAGGGAGGCCGGGGACGAGGAAGCUAGGCACGGAGCUGCUAGCGUGCGGGAGCGGGAGAGGAACCUAAGUAUCUGAUAUCAUGUUAGGAAUGGGCAACUACAUUCACAGGAGGGCCAAGGGCCAGUAUAUAUACAUGUGUAUGGUAAAGUGCAAGAGAGACUAUACACAUCUAACAGCAUGGAGGUGCCUCUAACAAAAAAAAUCCUUAGCAUCGCCUCCAAGCUUUAGUUUCAAUUAAAGUAUUUAUCUGUCCCUAUAUGUCAUCCUUUUGUUGAGCCUCCCAACUGAAAAGUGAAUCACAUAACAACUUGAUUAUUAUUUUUGUGGGACCAUUGUAGAAGCUCCACUAAAAUGCCAUACAUUGCAGCGUUUUGGCUAACCUUAGAGGCAACAAAUGUCAACCCUAGCUUAGAGGCAAUGCUGUCUCCAACACCCGUGGGAAGGACAUGGAGACAGUUGAGUGCAUGCGUGCAUGGACACUAGAAUGGCUGGGAAGAGUGAGUGCGGAAGAGAAGAAGAUGGUAAUACGGGCCUAGUAUGAACUCUGGUUAGCUAGGAACAAUUUAAUGAAUAGAAACAUACUUCCUCCGUCUUAAAAUAAGUGUCUUAACCUUAGUGCAACUUUGUACUAAAGAUAAUAUAAAGUUGAGACACUUAUUUUAGGAUGGAGGGAGUAUAUUGAAGAGCUUAUGCAUCAAGGACAGAGUGGUUCGGCUAGCUGGGGAGUGAAGCUCGCUCAGGGAUGUGGCGGCCGUGCAGCCGCCGAUGCUGUGUGAGCUGGAAUGCUGGAGAAGACCAGAGGAUGGGUGUCUCAAGAUCAACUUCGACGGCGCCCUAGCUAAACAUCAAGGUUCUAGUGGGGGAGGUGUUGUCCUUUGGGACAACCAUGGCAACUUCAUAACUGGGGCUUGCCAUUUUUUUCACUCGCCGUCGAUUCAGAAAUGGUGGAGCUGCUCGCAUAUCGCAGGUCCAUCCACUCGGUGCAAGAACUCAACAUCCAGAAAGUGAUUCUCAAGACGGAUUCACAAGAGGCGGUUCGAAAGAUUAGAAGCAAGGAAAAUAAUCUUUCAGCUAAUGGGCAACUUGUUGAAGAGAUCAAGGUUUUGCUUACAAAGUUUCAGGAGUUUAGGAUUGAUUGGGUGCGACGUUCGGCGGAUAAAGUCACACACGUCCUACCUCUGGAAUGUGUGAGAUUGGAGAUACCACUGAGUGGGCUAUGAUCUAUGAAUAAGUAGUAUUUUCAACUGGAAAUGGACAUCAAACGGUCCUAUGGUCUAGUGGUUAGGACAUUGGACUCUGAAUCCAGUAACCCGAGUUCAAGUCUCGGUAGGACCUUAGUUUUUGUUGCCUUUUUGUAUUUUUUUUCUUUCUUUCAAGAAAUUUGUCUUGCCUUUUGCGUCUAUAAAAAUCAAGAACCUCAAAAUGAUAUGAUCAAGAAACUUUUUUUUUGGCAUGAUCACCUGGAUGUACAGGACGUCGUCGGCGGGGUGCGCAUUGACGAGGUAGUCCAUGAUCCAGCGCAGCGCGUCGAGGGCGGAGUCCCGCUGCUUGGCGGCCUCCAUGGCGCCGCCGUACUCGAGGACGGACCACGACAGCAUGGUGGCCGUGAACGCCAGCGGGAAGCCAAACUUGAUGUGAUCGCCGGCGUCGUACAUCCCCCGGGAGAGGUCCAGCCCGGCCUCCUGCCCGUCGUCCACCGCCGAGUCACCCCUCCACGGGAUCUGGUUCUUCACCAGCUUCCCGGCUGCAUCACCGAUCGAACAACACAAGAACAGAAAAUUUUCAAUUUAAGCGAAGAAUAAUGCGGCGGUUUGGGUGGACCAUGUGCGCGCGUGCCGUGCGUGCGUACAUUUCUGGACCUGGAAGAACUGGAGGGCCACGGCGAGCGCCUCGGCGUACUUGUGGUCGACGGAGCCGGGGACGGGGCGGUCGCCGCCGCCGCCGCCGCCGUUCCUGUUGCGGAGGAACACGACGGCGGCCGUGAUGCCGAGCGCGACGAGCAGCAGCACCAGGACGCAGCAGCAGCCCCGCACGCAGCGCGCCAUUGUUGAAUGGCUGCGCGGUGGCCCCUAGUUCCUCCUCCCGCGGAUCAGCGGCCCGAUCGACCCCGCGAAAUUGUCGAUCGAUCUCCGGGACGGCCGAUCGGUUGCAUCGACGAAGCGGAAGGGAUUAAGACCACAGGAGGGACUGCACGCGUCGCCAACUGAUUAGGCGCGACGUCGGUCGAGGUAACCGACCGAAACAGCGCGCGCGGGCGGGCGGGCAGACGUGCCGCCGGUGAUGGGAAGGAGGGACGCGCGCGUGGGUGGGGAGUUAGAGGCUGGCCAUGACCGUCUCCCCAUGAUCAGUUGCUGACACGUAUGAUCGACCCCUUCUUGUGGUUGCAGUUACCGAAUGCCACGUAGAUGCAGGCAGGGUUCAAAAUUUCAACCAAAUUUGACUGCUCUAAACAAAACAAGUUUUUGCUGGGAACUGAUUUUUUUUUUGCGGGUGCGGGUACUGAAAUAUUUGUUACCCCGAGAUUUGGUUAAAAUCCAGUGAAUUUCGAUACAUCGAGUCACACUUAAAAAAAUUUGAGCUUGAACGAAUUUCUAAACUAUCAAGAUUUUGGAUAUUUUGGCGAGGCCUGGAAUGAAACCAAGGAUGCAUGACUCGAUGUACUCCCAAAAUUUAAAACCAAGGAUGCAUGGAUUUCUAGGGAGGCUCAACUUUGCAAAGUCGCGCGGAUAUGCAAUGUACUCCCUCCGUUCACAAAUAUAAGAUGUUCUAACAUUUGUCAAAAUCGGAUGUAUAUUGACGCGUUUAAUUGUGUUUAUUCACUCAUUUUAGUCUGUAUGCAGUUCAUCUUGAAAUAUCCAAAAUAUCUUAUAAUUUGAAGGGAGUACAUCUGGUUAAUGUACAGUCUUGAAAAAAGAAAUCAAUAAGAGGAGCUCCCAUCCCUUUUGCAAAAAAAAAAGCUCCCAUCCCUUUACUUUUUUUUACUUGAAUGAAACCAUAUGUACGACGAAGUUCAAUAAAAAUGAAAAUAAAGCCAGUACCUAAAACAAAACAUACAAAUCACUAUGGCACAAUAACAACCUUCACCAUGUGAACAACGAUCAAUUGGAACUACUAGGGAGCAGAUCUAGAUGAGAGCUCUGACCUCCUCAUUGUUGUGCUUCUGUUCUUUUACAGUGCAGUGGCUCCAGGAAUUGGUGACCAGGAUUCCAUGUCAAGAGGCAAGGCCAGGCUAAUAAGAGCAAGGUCAAAAGGAAGUAAUAGUAUGUGGUGGUCUCGUGCCCCCACAUAGAAGAAAUGUGAUGGAACACCACACAGUUUAACCAUGUGCAUGGCAAAUGAGAUGGCGCAAAUGCGCAACCUGGAUGUGGGAAAAUGUAUGGAACCUAAUCCUUCCCUAGGUCCUUGUUGAAUCGAAUCCUACUCUCUUCAAUAUUGCUUUGGUUCAGUUUAUCUAUGUUGUGCUAUAUAGGGGAUUGAUUCUAAUAUUGUUUUAGUUGGAGACAUGGAGCAAGCUCGUGCGAAUAUGUAUUUUGCUAAACAAUUAGAGCUACAUAAAAUGCUAAAAGUGCUCCCCCCGUUUCUUUUUGGUCUGCAUAUAAAAAUUGGUCAAAGUCAAACUCUGUCAACUUUGACUAAGUUUAUAGAAAAAAAUAUCAAGAUUCACAAUAUGAAAUCAAUAUUGUUAGAUGUAUCAUGAAAUAAAUUUUCAUACCAUAUAGCUUUAGUAUUGUAGAUGUAGAUAUUUUUUCCUACAAAGUUGGUCAAACUUUAUUGACCAAAUAUUAUAUGCGGACCAAAAAGAAAUGAAGGGAGUAAAUCGGUUGACAAUUAUAGUGAUUUGCGAGAAUAACCCAAAGAAGUACUGUCAGGUGAUGAUGGCCCUAGCUUAUAUGUGGAGGCAAACUUUGUCACUUUUGGUAAAAGAAACAAAAAGAUGUGUGAGAGCCUUGAAUUGCCACUGUUAAACCCAAAACUAAAUUUGUGAGGAUAGAAGAAAAGAGGUUUAAUUUGGAAUGUCUCGUGGAUAUGUGAUACAAAAACAAAGGUUUAUCAAAGAAUCUGUCUUUAAUAAACAUUUAGAAUUUGUUGGGAUUUAUGAAACUAGGAAAGAACAAUUUGACAAUUAUGAGCUUAAAAGUAUAAGUGGUAUUUUUUUAUUGAAACUGGAUACCAUCUAGGGCUUUCGCUCGGGUUAUGUUAGUAGGUAUCAGGAACCACUCCUUGCAUAUUCUGCGUACUAUGGAUGGGAAGUGUUUGAAAUUAAAGUUGAGUUACAAGAAUGAUGAAUUCACUCGAAAUCUAGUGACACUACAUGGGGAGGAAAUUCUAAUUAAGUAACCUCAUAUCUCCCAGGCUUGUGGUGGACCAAAAAUGGUAGCAGGUGAUUUCAACAUCAUUAGGAAAGUAUGCGAUAGAAAAGAAAAGGAAAAACACUCUACAUAAUGGCGUAUGUACUAAAAUGUCUAUGUUGAGAGACGUAAAUCGAGUUAGAAGGAUCUAAGUGGUAGGAAAUUUACAUGGAGUAACAACCAAGUAGAUCAAACUUUGAGAAGAUCGAUACCUAGAGGUUUACUUUGUUAUGAUCUAGAGGAUAAAUUCCCCUUAAGCACAAUCACUGUUGGGGAACGCGGUAAUUUCAAAAAAAAUCCUACACACACACGCAAGAUCCAUCUAGGUGAUGCAUAACAACGAGAGGGGAGAGUGUUGUCCACGUACCCUCGUAGACCGAAAGCGGAAGCGUUAUGACAACGCGGUUGAUGUAGUCGUAUGUCUUCACGAUCCGACCGAUCCUAGUACCGAAAGUACGACACCUCCGCGAUCUGCACACGUUCAGCUCGGUGACGUCCCACCACUAGUAGAAAAAGGGUCAUCUGUCCCGGUUGGUAAGGGCCUUUUGUUCCGGUUUUUAAACCGGGACUAAAGGGUCGUUACUAAUGCCCUAGCCCUUUAGUCCCGGUUCUUACACGAACCGGGAUAGAUGGGCCUCCACGUGGCCGGUGCGGCGAGCCCAGGCAGGAGGGCCUUUGGUUCCGGUUGGUGGCACUAACCGGGACCAAUAGGCAUCCACGCGUCAGCAUUUCACGGGCUGGGGUUUUUGUUUUUUUGAANNNNNNNNNNNNNNNNNNNNNNNNNNNNNNNNNNNNNNNNNNNNNNNNNNNNNNNNNNNNNNNNNNNNNNNNNNNNNNNNNNNNNNNNNNNNNNNNNNNNNNNNNNNNNNNNNNNNNNNNNNNNNNNNNNNNNNNNNNNNNNNNNNNNNNNNNNNNNNNNNNNNNNNNNGGGGGGUUGGGGGUUUUGGGGGGUUAAUUUAGGUGUUUCAUAUAUUGUGUUAGCUAGCUAAUUAAUAAAGAGAAGUGUCCUCUCUUAUCUCCGUGCUUGGUUGACGCUACGUACUAUAUACGUAUAGAGAGGACUAGACAUGCUAGCUAGUAAGAAAAUGAAGGAAACAGAAGAUCGUCAUGAACAUAUGCAUACAAAGAGAAGUGAUAUCGACCACCUCUCCUUCUUCGAGAGAUUGGUCGAACAACAAGUUCUCGUAUAUCUAUCCGACACUACUGGCUACAUAUAACAAUAAUUAUCUCUUACAAUAUAAUCUCCUAAUUAUAUACGAAGUCAAGGUCCACAUGGUAUUCUCCGUCUUCAGCGAUCACGUGGUCAAGGAAGAAUGCCGCCAAUUCCUCUUGAAUUGCUCGCAUACGAUCUGGUGCUAGGAGUUCAUCCCGCAUCCGAAAGAUCUAAUUUGAAGAAGGGGGUCAAUACAUACAUAUAUAUAUAUAUAUAUAUAUAUAUAUAUAUAUAUAUAUAUAUAUAUAUAUAUNNNNNNNNNNNNNNNNNNNNNNNNNNNNNNNNNNNNNNNNNNNNNNNNNNNNNNNNNNNNNNNNNNNNNNNNNNNNNNNNNNNNNNNNNNNNNNNNNNNAUAUAUAUGAAUAAAUGAAACUCAACACAAAUGAUGGUAAUAAAAUAAAAUUGUGAAUAUUAUUGCUUACGCACUUCAUAUUGUUCGUCAGAGUAGCCCCGCUCACAGGUCGUGUGGCGGAUGGACUCGCAAACGUAGUAUCCACAGAAAUCAUUCCCUUGUUCCUGCCACAACCACUUUACAAGAAAUAGAGGUCAAUCAAACUGAUAAGCAAGCAUGCUAAAUGGUAUUGAUGAAACUAGCACUUAAAUCACUAGGAGAUGCGCGAAACAUGCUACUAUAGUACUUACUUUCGGGUGUCUAAAUUGCAGCUUCUUCGGCAGUCCCGGAGCUUUUUUGGUGAAUUAUCUCCAAACCCUGCCAGAGAAAGAAAACAAUUACUUGAUAUCAGGAAAUGAACAAAGUUGCUGAUAUGGUGGAUAAUGAUCGAUUUAACUUACUUCUCGAGCAUUUGAGUCAUGUCCGCAUAGUCCUGGGGAUCUUUUUGUCUCGAGUCUAAGACGGUUACUACUCCCUGCUCAAGCUUAAUCUCUAGGAGAAUAUAGUGGAAGCUGUGCACGCAUGCAUAAGUCAUCAAUUACAUUACUAUAACCUGGACUAAUAAGGGAAACCGAAUAUGCACAAGACAGUAACACUCACUUGAAGUUGUAAGGAAAGAGUAUUAUAUCUUUGUUUUCAUUUAUUACCAACGAUCGUAGCAAGUUGGCCUCGGUAUUUUCGGCAUGAUAUUUAACCUCAGUUGCAUCUAUGAGAUUUGUGUUAAUGAAUCCAAUAUCACCGAUUUGUAUUUUCUUCAAUUCAGCGAUCUUCAAUCUGCAUAAUAUAGUGAGGAUAAUUAUAAAUACAUGCAAUGAAAGAGCUGACCUAUAUAGAGAGACUUAAUGACAGAAGUAGUACUACUUACAGACAGUAGCAAGUGACUGUUGAUUUAUCGAGGGCCUUUUGAUUGAAAAACUGGAAGAACUCCUCAAAUGGAACAUUCAACAGUUCAAUUCCAACGAGGUCAUGCUCCUCUUUAACUCUCAGCAUCAAAGUAUCCCUCCCCCCAGACUCUCUGCAGGUUUUCAUGUACCAAUCAUGUAAUCUUCGCAUCAUCGUUGUUAGAGAUCUUUCAUCUUUGACGAGAGGCUUCCCGUAAUGGUAUUUGUGUUCGUCCACCUCCAAGAAAUCAUAAUGUACAUCGUCGGGCAGGUAAUCUCCAAGAUUGCUAUAACCGGCCACCAUCCUCGGAUCAUUAGCGACGAUGUCGCUAGACACCUUGAGCGGGGGGCACGAUUGGUUCGCUUGUUCGCCGAGCUGGGCAAUUUUUCUCCCAGCUCGUCGUUCUUUUAACCUUUGAUCACUGGCAGUACUUCCCGACCACUCCGUUUCGACAAAUGUCUUUGCAAGAAUGCACUCAUAGUUGCCUUUCGGCGGAGACUUUGGUGGUUUUGUCAGGGCAGCCAGAGUGCGCUUCGCUUUCACCGGAUCUACCUUCUCCUCCGGAGGUGGAUGUUUCUUUGCUUUCACCCCUUCAAAGAAGUUCUUCACUUCGGCUCGCACGAUCUUCGUGGUUUCCUCCUCGGUCCUCUCGUAUGGUAACUUCUCUGGAGUCUUCAGAGAAGGACCGAAUCUGUAUUGCCUCCCGCCUCUGGCUGUACUGCUAGACGCCGGCAGAGCAGACGGAGCGGCUGCGGCUGUCUUCUUUCCUUGCUUAAGAGGCGGAGGAGAAGGACUACGACGCGUCGGAGCAGCCGGAGCGGCGGCGGGUCUCUUCCGCCCUUGCUGACGAGGCGGAGAAGGAGGAGACUGGCUGCUCGGGCGCGCCAGCGCAGGCGGAGAAGGAGGCGGAGUGCCGCCACGCGCCGGAGAAGGAGGCUGAGUGCCCUGAUCACUCGCCGGAGGAGGAGGCGGAGGAGGAGGUGGAGUGCCGCCACACGCCAGAAGGAGGCUGAGUGCCCUUACUCGCCGGAGGCGUCCAGUUCGGAAGGUUGAUGAGCUCCUUCCGCCAUAGGCAUGGAGUCUUUAGAGCAGAACCCAGCCGAGUCUCCCCUUCACCGGUAGGGUGGUCAAGCUGGAGGUCCUCAAAUCCCUCCGUUAUUUCGUCCACCGUCACCCUAGCAUAUCCUUCUGGAAUCGGACGACAGUGAAAAGUUGUGCCGGGUUCAGGAGGUCGAACAGAGCCGACAACCGCCUUGACUUUGAAGUUCUCCCAUCGCGUCAUAAGGUGGCAAUGUUGAGACUCCGUGAUAGCAUCCACGGGGUAGCUAGCAGGAGCCGUCAAGACAUGCUCCGGCUGAAGCAGCUCGGUGGAAGCCACGCUGCUUCUCCGCUGAGAUGGCGGGGUAGCUUCGGGGGUAGUUUCGGCAGGUCGAUUGCUGCGAGCUAUGUCUCGUUCCUCUAGCGCUUGAACCCUUUCGUGUAGCUUCUAAAUUUCGGUCUGCUCCACUUUUUUCCUCCUCUCCUGGCAUUUUAACCGCCUGCGUCCGGAAAACCAGCCUUCCACGGAACGGAGCCUGGCGUGCCUCGUGUCCGUCCAGGGUGCUCAGGAUUCCCGAGGGCCAUUGUGAGCUCGUCGUUCUCUCUGUCUGGAACGAACGUCCCUUGGUGCGCUGCAUCGAUAUAGUGCUGAAGCCUCUUGACUGGUAUUCUCAUUUGCUCGUCCAUCCAAACGCACUUCCCUGAUACAGGGUCCAAGGUUCCGCCAGACCCGAAGAACCAAGUCCGGCAACGGUCUGGCCAAUUCAUUGUCUCUGGUUCGAUCCCUUUAUCAAGCAGAUCAUUCUCAGCCUUGGCCCACUUAGGCCGGGCUUUGAGGUAGCCACCUGACCCCGUGCGAUGGUGAAGCUUCUUCUUCGCAGCAUUUUUCUCGUUUGUCGCUGACAACUUCUUACUCUUUUCCGAUGUCUUGUGGGCCACAAAUGCGGGCCAGUGAUCUCUGAUCUUCUCAUAUUUGCCGAUGAAUUCUGGUGUCUCUUCUUUGUCGACAAACGUUUUCAGCUCAUUCUUCCACCUCCUGAAUAGGUCUGCCAUCUUCUUAAGAGCAUGAGACUUGAUUAAUUGCUCUUUAACUGGCUUCUCCGGAUCCUCCUCUGGCGGUAGGGUGAAAUUUGCCUUUAGCUCAGUCCAAAGAUCAUCUUUCUGCAUAUCAUUGACAUAAGACACCUCAGGGUCUUCCUUCUUAGGCUUAUACCAUUGGUGGAUGCUGAUCGGGAUCUUGUCCCUAACAAGAACCCCGCACUGAGCAGCAAAUGCUUCCUUUGUCCGGAUGGGUUCAAUCGGUUGGCCGUCGCACGCGAUUGCUGUGAUCUCAAACCUUUCAUCCGAGCGCAACUUUCUCUUCGGGCCUUGUCUCUUUACCGAAGUUGUGCUCGAUCCGGAGGGCUAGAAAAAAGAAGAAAGAUGAGAGUUAAUUAAUAUGUGUACAUACCAAAACAAUGAAUGCAUCAAUUAGCUAGUCAGCACAGGCUUAACUAAUAUAUUUACCUGGCCGGACUCUGUUCGGUCACCGGAGCCGUCACCACGGGCUCCUUCUUGCACCAGCAUUGGGUCACCGGAGCCAUCAUAAUCAUGUAUUUCCUCCUCCACUCUUCGAUCACCGUAGCCUGCUUCUUCACCCUGUUCUUCCAGACCAUCAUUGUCGUUAAGAUACGAUAAGACAUCACCUCCGGCUAAGAUUAUGUCCCCCAACACCUCUUCUGCUUCCUCGUCUCGUCCGUGCUCCAUUGUUUCUGCAAAUAUUACAACAUGGCAAUUAUUACACAAACAUGACAGCAGGUGGAUAUAUUAGUGCAAACGUAGACCUAGCUUAUUCCGGGUUUGGGGUGGCCUCAGCAACGCUUCAAGGGUAGGGGUGCGGCGGGAGGGGGUAGGAGACCGACAUCGUUUUUUUCUAGGGUUUGGGUGUCCUCGAGAGUUUUGGUCGAGCAAGAGGGCCGGGGGGUGCUCCCGUGGUAUUAGUUAUCACGGACGAAGUUAUCCGGGAGGGGGUUAUAUCGACAACGACGACAUACAUACAUGGGAAAAUAAUGUUAUCGGGGAGGGGGUAGGUCGAACCCCCCCUCGUGUUGAAGUUAUUGGGACACGGGGUAUAUCGACAACGACAUAUCCGAUAAAAAGUAAGAAGACGAAGAAGAAAUAAAAAGAGGAGUUCUAUUUUCUCUUCUUCUCCUCUAUUCCUUUCUUCUUCUCCUCUUCUUUUUCUUCUUUUUUCUUCUUCUUAUUUUCCUUUUUCCUCUCCUUCUUUUUCUUCUUCUUCAUUAUCUUCCUAGCUAGAUAUAUAAUACUUUUCUAAAAAUGUAACUUUUGCAUAUAUAAAACUUUUUCUUCUUCUUCCUUCUUCCUUCUCUUCCUUCUUUUCCUAAAUAUAUAAAACUUUUCUAAAAAUGAAACUAACCUAAAAUGUACCCAAAUGUACUAAAAAUCUAACUUUUAUAUGCACAGAGAACAUACAUACAUAUAUACAUUUUUAUAAAAAUGCAAAAAACAAAUCAUCAUAUAUAUGAAUAAAAAACAGAGAGGAAGGCCGGCGGCCGGACCGAACGUGGCGGCNNNNNNNNNNNNNNNNNNNNNNNNNNNNNNNNNNNNNNNNNNNNNNNNNNNNNNNNNNNNNNNNNNNNNNNNNNNNNNNNNNNNNNNNNNNNNNNNNNNNNNNNNNNNNNNNNNNNNNNNNNNNNNNNNNNNNNNNNNNNNNNNNNNNNNNNNNNNNNNNNNNNNNNNNNNNNNNNNNNNNNNNNNNNNNNNNNNNNNNNNNNNNNNNNNNNNNNNNNNNNNNNNNNNNNNNNNNNNNNNNNNNNNNNNNNNNNNNNNNNNNNNNNNNNNNNNNNNNNNNNNNNNNNNNNNNNNNNNNNNNNNNNNNNNNNNNNNNNNNNNNNNNNNNNNNNNNNNNNNNNNNNNNNNNNNNNNNNNNNNNNNNNNNNNNNNNNNNNNNNNNNNNNNNNNNNNNNNNNNNNNNNNNNNNNNNNNNNNNNNNNNNNNNNNNNNNNNNNNNNNNNNNNNNNNNNNNNNNNNNNNNNNNNNNNNNNNNNNNNNNNNNNNNNNNNNNNNNNNNNNNNNNNNNNNNNNNNNNNNNNNNNNNNNNNNNNNNNNNNNNNNNNNNNNNNNNNNNNNNNNNNNNNNNNNNNNNNNNNNNNNNNNNNNNNNNNNNNNNNNNNNNNNNNNNNNNNNNNNNNNNNNNNNNNNNNNNNNNNNNNNNNNNNNNNNNNNNNNNNNNNNNNNNNNNNNNNNNNNNNNNNNNNNNNNNNNNNNNNNNNNNNNNNNNNNNNNNNNNNNNNNNNNNNNNNNNNNNNNNNNNNNNNNNNNNNNNNNNNNNNNNNNNNNNNNNNNNNNNNNNNNNNNNNNNNNNNNNNNNNNNNNNNNNNNNNNNNNNNNNAAAAUACUUCGAUAAUUUUAGUUGCAUCAAUUUUAUAUAAUUUUAGUUUCAAUAAUACUAGAGGUUGCUUAUAAUGUUUUGAACAGAAAAUACUUUGAUAAUUUUAGUUUCAUAAAUUUUAUUUAUGUUAUUAAAGUUUAUUUUAUUUUGUUUGUACUUAUAUAUUUUAUUAAAGUUUAUAUUAUUUUGUUUCUAAUUACUUAUUUAUUUUAUUUGUUAUUUUUCAUGCACUAUUUUUCAUGCAUUUACUGAUUAUUUUGAGCUAUAAGACCCUAAAAUUGAAAAGCAUUUCAAAUGAACUCUGAAAAGGUUGAAAGUUGGCAUGGUAUCAUCAUUUCAUCCACAUAGCAUGUGCAAGAAAGUUGAGAGGGUUACGGUAAAAACUGGAUGCACUUCGUGUACAAGACGGACAAUCUCUUUCGAAGUAUCAGGAUUUCAUACGGAAACUCGUCUGUUACAAAGGGAUUUUAUUUUUUAAAACAUAUUUGAACUCCUGACUUUUUGUGUGUUCAAAAUGCACCAUUCAAAGCCACAUCAUCAAUUUUCAACCCUUUCUGACUUCAUUUCUUAUUUUUCAUGCAUUUAUUGAUUAUUUUGAGCUAUAAGACCCUGAAAUUGAAAAGCAUUUCAAAUGAACUCUGAAAAGGUUGAAAGUUGGCAUGGUAUCAUCAUUUCAUCCACAUAGCAUGUGCAAGAAAUUUGAGAGGGUUACGGCAAAAACUGGAUGCACAUCGUGUACAAAACGGACAACGGUAUCAUACUCGUCUGUUACAAAGUUGGCAUGGUAUCAUCAUAAUAGUUGCGGCAGAAAGUCUUCACUUUUUCUUCGCUUGUGUCAUUUGCUUAUUGCGCCGUAACCAUGGAUAAUCUUCAUCGUUUAUCAGGAUGCUUGGGUCAGCCUUGACUUUGAAGGGGGGAAUUUCAUGAAACUUUUCAUAAUCUUCAGACAUGUCUGUCUUGCCCUCCACUCCCACGAUGUCCCUUUUUCCUGAAAGAACUAUGUGGCGCUUUGGCUCAUCGUAUGAUGUAUACGCUUCCUUAUCUUUUCUUUUUCUCGGUUUGGUAGACAUGUCCUUCACAUAGAUAACCUGUGCCGCAUCAUUGGCUAGGACGAACGGUUCGUCAGCGUACCCAAGGUUUUUCAGAUCCACUGUUGUCAUUCCGUACUGUGGGUCUACCUGUACCCCGCCUCCUGACAGAUUGACCCAUUUGCACUUAAACAAAGGGACCUUAAAAUCAUGUCCGUAGUCAAGUUCCCAUAUGUCCACUAUGUAACCAUAAUAUGUGUCCUUUCCCCUCUCGGUUGUUGCAUCAAAGCGGACACCGCUGUUUUGGUUGGUGAUCUUUUGAUCUUGGGCAAUCGUGUAAAAUGUAUUCCCAUUUAUCUCGUAUCCUUUGUAAGUCAAUACAGUCAAAAGAUGGUCCCCUGGACAACGAGUACAGCUCAUCACAAACAGUGUUGUCACCUCUGAGACGUGUUUCCAACCAACUGCUGAAAGUCCUGAUGUGUUCACAUAUAAUCCAGUCGUCGCACUGCUCCGGGUGUUUGGAGCGCAGACUGUUCUUGUGUUCAUCGACAUACGGGGUCACUAAGGUAGAGUCUGUAGAACUGUGUAGUGCGCUUGAGACCAAGAAUGCCCGUCCCUGCAUAUUAUUGAGUCCGCUCCUAGCGUGCCUUUUCCAGUCAGUCUCCCCUCAUACCGCGAUUUAGGGAGACCUAUCUUCUUAAGGCCAUGAAUGAAGUCAACACAAAAUCCAAUGACAUCCUCUGUUUGAUGGCCCAUGGAGAUGCUUCCUUCUGGCCUAGCGCCGUUACGGACAUAUUUCUUUAGGACUCCCAUGAACCUCUCAAAGGGGAACAUAUUGUGUAGAAAUACGGGCCCCAGAAUGACAAUCUCGUCGACUAGAUGAACUAGGACGUGUGUCAUGAUAUUGAAGAAGGAUGGUGGGAACACUAGCUCGAAACUGACAAGACAUUGCGCCACAUCACUCCUUAGCCUUGGUAUGAUUUCUGGAUCGAUCACCUUCUGAGAGAUUGCAUUGAGGAAUCCACAUAGCUUCACAAUGGCUAAUCGGACGUUUUUCGGUAGAAGCCCCCUCAAUGCAACCGGAAGCAGUUGCGUCAUAAUCACGUGGCAGUCAUGAGACUUUAGGUUCUGGAACUUUUUCUCUGGCAUAUUUAUUAUUCCCUUUAUAUUCGACGAGAAGCCAGUCGGGACCUUCAUACUGAGCAGGCAUUUAAAGAAGACUUCUUUCUCUUCUUUCGUAAGAGCGUAGCUGGCAGGACCUUCAUACUGCUUCGGAGGCAUGCCAUCUUUUUCAUGCAAACGUUGCAGGUCCUCCCGUGCCUCAGGUGUAUCUUUUGUCUUCCCAUACACGCCCAAGAAGCCUAGCAGGUUCACGCAAAGGUUCUUCGUCACGUGCAUCACGUCGAUUGAAGAGCGGACCUCUAGGUCUUUCCAGUAGGGUAGGUCCCAAAAUAUAGAUUUCUUCUUCCACAUGGGUGUGUGUCCCUCAGCGUCAUUCGGAACAGCUAGUCCGCCGGGACCCUUUCCAAAGAUUACGUGUAAAUCAUUGACCAUAGCAAGUACGUGAUCACCGGUACGCAUGGCGGGCUUCUUCCGGUGAUAUGCCUCGCCUUUGAAAUGCUUGCCUUUCUUUCGACAUUGAUGGUUGGUCGGAAGAAAUCGACGAUGGCCCAUGUACACAUUCUUCAUGCAUUUGUCCAGGUAUAUACUUUCAGUGUCAUCUAAACAGUGUGUGCAUGCGUGGUAUCCCUUGUUUGUCUGUCCUGAAAGGUUACUAAGAGCGGGCCAAUCGUUGAUGGUUACAAACAGCAAUGCGUGCAGGUUAAAUUCCUCCUAUUUGUGCUCAUCCCACGUACGUACACCGUUUCCAUUCCACAGCUGUAAAAGUUCUUCAACUAAUGGCCUUAGGUACACAUCAAUGUCGUUGCCGGGUUGCUUAGGGCCUUGGAUGAGAACUGGCAUCAUAAUGAACUUCCGCUUCAUGCACAUCCAAGGAGGAAGGUUAUACAUACAUAGAGUCACGGGCCAGGUGUUGUGAUUGUUGCUCUGCUCCCCAAAAGGAUUAAUGCCAUCCACGCUUAAACCAAACCAUACGUUCCUUGGGUCAGCUGCAAACUCAGCCCAGUACUUUCUCUCAAUUUUUCUCCACUGCGACCCGUCAGCAGGUGCUCUCAACUUCCCGUCUUUCUUACGGUCCUCACUGUGCCAUCGCAUCAACUUGGCAUGCUCUUUGUUUCUGAACAGACGUUUCAACCGUGGUAUUAUAGGAGCAUACCACAUCACCUUCGCAGGAACCCUCUUCCUGGGGGGCUCACCGUCAACAUCACCAGGGUCAUCUCGUCUGAUCUUAUACCGCAAUGCACCGCAUACCAGGCAUGCGUUCAGAUCCUUGUACGCACCACGGUAGAGGAUGCAGUCAUUAGGGCAUCCAUGUAUCUUCUACACCUCCAAUCCUAGAGGGCAUACGACCUUCUUUGCUGCGUAUGUACUGUCGGGCAAUUCGUUAUCCUUUGGAAGCUUCUUCUUCAAUAUUUUCAAUAGCUUCUCAAAUCCUUUGUCAGGCACAACAUUCUCUUCCUUCCACUGCAGCAAUUCCAGUACGGUACCGAGCUUUGUGUUGCCAGCUUUGCAAUUGGGGUACAACCCUUUUUUGUGAUCCUCUAACAUGCGAUCGAACUUCAGCUUCUCCUUUUGACUUUCGCAUUGCGUCCUUGCAUCGACAAUGACCCGGCGGAGAUCAUCAUCAUCGGGCACUGGUUCCUCUUGAUCUUCAGCAGCUUCCCCCAUUGCAGCAUCAUUGGGCACAUCGUCUGGUUCCUCUUGAUCUUCAGCAGCUUCCCCCAUUGCAGCAUCACCGUAUUCAGGGGGCACAUAGUUGUCAUCGUCCUCUUCUUCUUCGUCGUCUUCCAUCAUAACCCCUAUUUCUCCAUGCCUCGUCCAAACAUUAUAGUGUGGCAUGAAACCCUUGUAAAGCAGGUGGGUGUGAAGGAUUUUCCGGUCAGAGUAAGACUUCGUAUUCCCACAUUUAGGGCAUGGACAACACAUAAAACCAUUCUGCUUGUUUGCCUCAGCCACUUCGAGAAAAUUAUGCACGCCCUUAAUGUACUCGGAGGUGUGUCUGUCACCGUACAUCCAUUGCCGGUUCAUCUGCGUGCAUUAUAUAUAAUUAAGUGUGUCUAAAACCAUUACAGAACAUCAUGAAUAGAUAAUUAAGUGACCAAAUUAAUAGAAGUUCAUCAUCACAUUAAAACCAAAGUACAUACAUAGUACUCAUCUAACAACAUAUAGCUCUCCAGAGCAUCUAAUUAAUUAAACCAUACAUUGAAACUAUGUAAAACAUUUCAAUGCGAAAACAAAUGCGAUCAUAAUCGCAACCAAGGUAACAAUUAAUCCAACGGCAUAAUGAUACCAAGCCUCGGUAUGAAUGGCAUAUUUGCUAAUCUUUCUAAUCUUCAAGCGCAUUGCAUCCAUCUUGAUCUUGUGAUCAUCGACGACAUCCGCAACAUGCAACUCCAAUAUCAUCUUCUCCUCCUCAAUUUUUUUUAUUUUUUCCUUCAAGAAAUUGUUUUCUUCUUCAACUAAAUUUAACCUCUCGACAAUAGGGUCAGUUGGAAUUUCCGGUUCACAUACCUCCUAGAUAAAUAAAAUCUAUGUCACGUUGGUCGGCAUAAUUUUCAUAAACAAUAAAUGAACCAAUAGUUAUAAAAAUAAUAUAUACCACAUCCGAAUCAUAGACAGGACGAGGGCCGACGGGGGCGGAUACCAAAACCAUCGCACUAUAUAAUAACAAGCAAUAAAAUAGUAAGAAAAUUAGACAAGUAUCUAUCUAAAGUAAGAAUUUUUUUCUUUCAGAAAGAAGAUAAGAACAAGAGGCUCACCACGGUGGUGCCGGCGACGAGAUCGGCGCGGGUGAUCGACGGCGGUGAAGACGGGAAUGGGACGUGACGGGCCGCUAAACCUAGACAAAUCUCGAGGAAAAUGGAGCUUUGAGGUCGAGCUUCGAGAGGAGAAAGCUUAACUAGUGUGGCUCGGGCAUUUCAUCGAACACCUCAUGUGCAUAAGAGGUGAGCUAGAGCACCACAAAGCCCUCCCCUCGCCGGCCAAACAAAAACAGAACACUGGAGUGCUAUGCUCGCGGGCGAGGGGUAUAUAUAGGCACCUCAUUGGUCCCGGUUCGUGGCAUGAACCGGGACUAAAGGGCUGCCUGUGUUCCCGGUUCAAGCCACCAACCGGGACCAGUGGUGGUGGGCCAGGAGCAAGGCCCAUUGGUCCCGGUUCGUCCCACUAACCGGGACCAAAGGGGCCAGACGAAACGGGACCAAUGCCCCCAUGAGGCCCGGCAGGCCCCUGGCCUCACGAACCGGGACCAGUGCCCCCAUUGGUCCCGGUUCUGGACUGAAUCGGGACUAAUGGGCUGACCCGGCCUGAACCAAAGCCCUCUUUUCUACUAGUGCACGAACUCUAGAUCCAGAUGAGUGUCGAGGGAGAGCUUCGUCAGCACGACGGCGUGAUGACGGUGAUGAUGAAGUUACCGACGUAGGGUGCUACCUCUUGAACACUGCGUUGGUUUUCCCUUGAAGAGGAAAGGGUGAUGCAGUAAAGUAGCGUAAGUAUUUCCCUUAGUUUUUUGAGAAUCAAGGUAUCAAUCCAGUAGGAGGCCACGCACAAGUCCCUCGCACCUACACAAACAAAUAAAGCCUCGCAACCAACGCAAUAAAGGGGUUGUCAAUCCCUUCACGGUCACUUACGAAAGUGAGAUCUGAUAGAUAUGAUAAGAUAAUAUUUUUGGUAUUUUUAUAAUAAAGAUGCAAAGUAAAAUAAAAGCAAAAUAAACGGCACCAGAAAUAGCUUGUUGUCGGGAGAUUAAUAUGAUGGAAAAUAGACCCGGGGGCUAUAGGUCUAGUGGCUUCUCUCAAGAGCAUAAGUAUUACGGUGGGUGAACAAAUUACUGUUGAGCAAUUGAUAGAAUUGAGCAUAGUUAUGAGAAUAUCUAGGUAUGAUCAUGUAUAUAGGCAUCACGUCCGUGAUAAGUAGACCGACUCCUGCCUGCAUCUACUACUAUUACUCCACACAUCGACCGCUAUCCAGCAUGCAUCUAGAGUAUUAAGUUCAUAAGAAUAGAGUAAUGCUUUAAGCAAGAUGACAUGAUGUAGAGGGAUAAACUCAUGCAAUAUGAAAUAAACCCCAUUUUGUUAUCCUCGAUGGCAACAAUACAAUAUGUGCCUUGCUACCCCUACUGUCACUGGGAAAGGACACCGCAAGAUUGAACCCAAAGCUAAGCACUUCUCCCAUUGCAAGAAAGAUCAAUCUAGUAGGCCAAACCAAACUGAUAAUUCGAAGAGACUUGCAAAGAUAACCAAUCAUACAUAAAAUAAUUCAGAGAAGAUUCAAAUAUUGUUCAUAGAUAAACUUGAUCAUAAACCCACAAUUCAUCGGUCUCAACAAGCACACCGCAAAAGAAGAUUACAUCGAAUAGAUCUCCACAAGAGAGGGGGAGAACAUUGUAUUGAGAUCCAAAAAGAGAGAAGAAGCCAUCUAGCUAAUAACUAUGGACCCGAAGGUCUGAGGUAAACUACUCACACAUCAUCAGAGAGGCUAUGGUGUUGAUGUAGAAGCCUUCCGUGAUCAAUGCCCCCUCCGGUAGGAUGCCGGAAAAGGCCCCAAGAUGGGAUCUCACAGGUACAAAAGGUUGCGGUGGUGGAAUUAGGUUUUCGUGGAUGCCUCUGUUGGUUUGGGGGUACGUAGGUAUAUAUAGGAGGAGGAAGUACGUCGGUGGAGCAACAUGGGCCCCACGAGGGUGGAGGGCGCGCCCAGGGGGUAGGCGCGCCCCCUACCUCGUGCCCUCCUGGUUGCUUUCUUGACGUAGGGUCCAAGUCCUCUGGAUCACGUUCGUUCCGAAUAUCACGUUCCCAAAGGUUUCAUUCCGUUUGGACACCGUUUCAUAUUCUUUUUCUGCGAAACUCUGAAAUUGGCAAAAAAACAGCAAUUUGGGUUGGGCCUCCGGUUAAUAGGUUAGUCCCAAAAAUAAUAUAAAAGUGUAUAACAAAGCCCAUUAAUCAUCCAAAACAGAAUAUAAUAUAGCAUGAAGCAAUCAAAAAUUAUAGAUACGUUGGAGACGUAUCAAGCAUCCCCAAGCUUAAUUCCUACUCGUCCUCGAGUAGGUAAAUGAUAAAAACAGAAUUUUUGAUGCGGAAUGCUACUUAGCAUGAUUUUUAAUGCAACCCUCUUAAUUGUGGUAUGAAUAUUCAGAUCCGAAAGAUUCAAGAUAAAAGUUUAAUAUUGACAUAAAAGUAAUAAUACUUCAAGCAUACUAACUAAGCAAUUAUGUCUUCUCAAAAUAACAUGGCCAAAGAAAGUUCAUCCCUAAAAAAUCAUAUAGUUUAGUCAUGCUCCAUUUUCGUCACACAAGAAUGCUCUCAUCAUGCACAACCCCGAUGACAAGCCAAGAAAUUGUUUCAUACUUUCGUAAUCUCAAACUUUUUCAACCUUCACGCAAUACAUGAGCGUGAGCCAUGGAUAUAGCACUUUGGGUGGAAUAGAAUAUAAUGAUGGGGGUUAUGUGGAGAAGACAAAAAAGGAGAAAGUCUCACAUCAACGCGGCUAAUCAACGGGCUAUGGAUGUUGGAAAUAUGCCCUAGAGGCAAUGAUAAAAUGGUUAUUAUUAUAUUUCCUUGUUCAUGAUAAUUGUCUAUUAUUCAUGCUAUAAUUGUGUUAUCCGGAAAUCGUAAUACAUGUGUGAAUACAUAGACCACAACAUGUCCCUAGUGAGCCUCUAGUUGACUAGCUCGUUGAUCAACAGAUAGUCAUGAUUUCCUGACUAUGGACAUUGGAUGUCAUUGAUAACGGGAUCACAUCAUUAGGAGAAUGAUGUGAUGGACAAGACCCAAUCCUAAGCAUAGCGCAAAGAUCGUGUAGUUCGUUUGCUAGAGCUUUUCCAAUGUCAAGUAUCUUUUCCUUAGACCAUGAGAUCGUGUAACUCCCGGAUGCCGUAGGAGUGCUUUGGGUGUACCAAACGUCACAACGUAACUGGGUGACUAUAAAGGUACACUACAGGUAUCUCUGAAAGUGUCUGUUGGGUUGACACGGAUCGAGACUGGGAUUUGUCACUCCGUAUGACGGAGAGGUAUCUCUGGGCCCACUCGGUAAUGCAUCAUCAUAAUGAGCUCAAUGUGACUAAGGAGUUAGCCACGGGAUCAUGCAUUACGGUACGAGUAAAGAGACUUUCCGGUAACGAGAUUGAAUAAGGUAUUGGGAUACCGACGAUCGAAUCUCGGGCAAGUAACAUACCGAUUGACAAAGGGAAUUGUAUACAAGAUUGAUUGAAUCCUCGACAUCGUGGUUCAUCCGAUGAGAUCAUCACGGAACAUGUGGGAGCCAACAUGGGUAUCCAGAUCCCGCUGUUGGUUAUUGACCGGAGAGUCGUCUCAGUCAUGUCUGCAUGUCUCCCGAACCCGUAGGGUCUACACACUUAAGGUUCGGUGACGCUAGGGUUGUAGAGAUAUUAGUAUGCGGUAACCCAAAAGUUUUUCGGAGUCCCGGAUGAGAUCCCGGAUGUCACGAGGAGUUCCGGAAUGGUCCGGAGGUAAAGAAUUAUAUAUAGGAAGUCCAGUUUCGGCCACCGGGAAAAUUUCGGGGGUCACCGGUAUUGUACCAGGACCACCGGAAGGGUCCCGGGGGUCCACCGGGUGGGGCCACCUAUCCCGGAGGGCCCCAUGGGCUGAAGUGGGGAGGCAAACCAGCCACUGGUGGGCUGGUGCGCCCCCCUUGGGCCUCCCCUGCGCCUAGGGUUGGAAACCCUGGGGGUGGGGGGGCGUCCCACUUGGCUUGGGGGGCAAGCCACCCCCUUGGCCGCCGCCCCCCUGGAGAUGGGAUCUCCCAGGGCCGGCGCCCCCCCUCAGGGACCCUAUAUAAAGGGAGGGGAGGAAGGGCAGCAGCAACCUAGCCCCUGGCGCCUCCCUCUCCCUCCCGUGACACCUCUCCCUCCCGCUUGCGCUUGGCAAAGCCCUGCCGGGAUCCCGCUACUUCCACCACCACGCCGUCGUGCUGCUGGAUCUCCAUCAACCUCUCCUUUCCCCUUGCUGGAUCAAGAAGGAGGAGACGUCUUCCCAACCGUACGUGUGUUGAACGCGGAGGUGCCGUCCGUUCGGCGCUCGGUCAUCGGUGAUUUGGAUCACGACGAGUACGACUCCAUCAACCUCGUUCACUUGAACGCUUCCGCUUGCUAUCUACAAGGGUAUGCAGAUGCACUCCUCUCUCUCGUUGCUAGAUGACUCCAUAGAUUGAUCUUGGUGAUGCGUAGAAAAUUUUAAAUUUCUGCUACGAUCCCCAACAGUGGUAUCAUGAGCCAGGUCUAUGCGUAGUUUCUAUGCACGAGUAGAACACAAACUUGUUGUGGGCGUAGAUGUUGUCAAUUUUCUUGCCACUACUAGUCUUAUCUUGUUCCGGCGGCAUCGUGGGAUGAAGCGGCCCGGACCGACCUUACACGUACGCUUACGUGAGACAGGUUCCACCGACUGACAUGCACUAGUUGCAUAAGGUGGCUAGCGGGUGUCUGUCUCUCCCACUUUAGUCGAAUCGGAUUCGAUGAAAAGGGUCCUUAUGAAGGGUAAAUAGAAGUUGGCAUAUCACGUUGUGGUUUUACGUAGGUAAGAAACGUUCUUGCUAGAAAGCUAUAGAAGCCACGUAAAAACAUGCAACAACAAUUAGAGGACGUCUAACUUGUUUUUGCAGCAUAUGCCUUGUGAUGUGAUAUGGCCAAAAGGAUGUGAUGAAUGAAAUAUAUGUGAUGUAUGAGAUUGAUCAUGUUCUUGUAAUAGGAAUCACGACUUGCAUGUCGAUGAGUAUGACAACCGGCAGGAGCCAUAGGAGUUGUCUUUAUUUUUUGUAUGACCUGCGUGUCAUUGAAUAACGCCAUGUAAAUUACUUUACUUUAUUGCUAAACGCGUUAGCCACAGAAGUAGAAGUAAUCGUUGGUGUGACAACUUCAUGGAGACAUGAUGAUGGAGAUCAUGGUGUCAUGCCGGUGACGAAGAUGAUCAUGGCGCCCCGAAGAUGGAGAUCAAAAGGAGCAAAAUGAUAUUGGCCAUAUCAUGUCACUAUUUGAUUGCAUGUGAUGUUUAUCAUGUUUUACAUCUUAUUUGCUUAGAACAACGGUAGCUUAAAUAAGAUGAUCCCUCACAAAAAUUUCAAGAAAAGUGUUCUCCCUAACUGUGCACCGUUGCGAAGGUUCGUUGUUUCGAAGCACCACGUGAUGAUCGGGUGUGAUAGAUUCUAACGUUCGCAUACAACGGGUGUUGACGAGCCUAGCAUGUACAGACAUGGCCUCGGAACACACGCAAUACACUUAGGUUGACUUGACGAGCCUAGCAUGUACAGACAUGGCCUCGGAACACGGAAGACCGAAAGGUCGAGCAUGAGUCGUAUAGAAGAUACGGUCAACAUGAAGAUGUUCACCGAUGUUGACUAGUCCGUCUCACGUGAUGAUCGGACACGGCCUAGUUAACUCGGAUCAUGUUUCACUUAGAUGACUAGAGGGAUGUCUAUCUGAGUGGGAGUUCAUUGAAUAAUUUGAUUAGAUGAACUUAAUUAUCAUGAACUUAGUCUAAAAUCUUUACAAUAUGUCUUGUAGAUCAAAUGGCCCAUGUAGCCCUCAACUUCAAUGCGUUCCUAGAGAAAACCAAGCUGAAAGAUGAUGGCAGCAACUAUACGGACUGGGUCCGGAACCUGAGGAUCAUCCUCAUAGCUGCCAAGAAAGAUUAUGUCCUAGAAGCACCGCUAGGUGAAGCACCCAUCCCAGAGAACCAAGACGUUAUGAACGCUUGGCAGUCACGUGCUGAUGAUUACUCCCUCGUUCAGUGCGGCAUGCUUUACAGCUUAGAACCAGGGCUCCAAAAGCGUUUUGAGAAACACGGAGCAUAUGAGAUGUUCGAAGAGCCGAAAAUGGUUUUCCAAGCUCAUGCCCGGGUCGAGAGAUAUGAAGUCUCCGACAAGUUCUUUAGUUCUAAAAUGGAGGGAAAUAGUUCUGUCAGUGAGCACAUACUCAAAAUGUCUGGGUUACGCAACCGCUUGUCUCAGCUGGGAGUUAAUCUCCCGGAUGACGCGAUCAUUGACAAAAUCCUUCAGUCGCUUCCACCGAGCUACAAGAGCUUUGUGAUGAACUUCAAUAUGUAGGGGAUGGAAAAGACCAUUCCUGAGGUAUAUUCAAUGCUGAAAUCAGCGGAGGUGGAGAUCAAAAAGGAACAUCAAGUGUUGAUGGUGAAUAAAACCACUAAGUUCAAGAAAGGCAAGGGUAAGAAAAACUUCAAGAAAGACGGCAAGGGAGUUGCCGCGCCCGGUAAGCCAGUUGCCGGGAAGAAGCCAAGGAAUGGACCCAAGCCUGAGACUGAGUGCUUUUAUUGCAAGGGAAGUGGUCACUGGAAGCGGAACUGCCCCAAAUAGUUAGCGGACAAGAAGGCCGGCAACACCAAAGGUAUAUGUGAUAUACAUAUAAUUGAUGUGUACCUUACCAGUACUCGUAGUAGCUCCUGGGUAUUUGAUACCGGUGCGGUUGCUCAUAUUUGUAACUCAAAACAGGAGCUGCGGAAUAAGCGGAGACUGGCGAAGGACGAGGUGACGAUGCGCGUCGGGAAUGGUUCCAAGGUCGAUGUGAUCGCCGUCGGCACGCUACCUCUACAUUUACCUACGGGAUUAGUUUUAAACCUCAAUAAUUGUUAUUUAGUGCCAGCUUUGAGCAUGAACAUUGUAUCAGGAUCUCAUUUAAUGCGAGAUGGCUACUCAUUUAAAUCCGAGAAUAAUGGUUGUUCUAUUUAUAUGAGAGAUAUGUUUUAUGGUCAUGCCCCGCUGGUCAAUGGUUUAUUCUUAAUGAAUCCCGAACGUGAUGUUACACAUAUUCAUAGUGUGAGUACCAAAAGAUGUAAAGUUGAUAACGAUAGUCCCACAUACUUGUGGCAUUGCCGCCUUGGUCACAUUGGUGUCAAGCGCAUGAAGAAGCUCCAUGCUGAUUGACUUUUAGAGUCUCUUGAUUACGAAUCAUUUGACACGUGCGAACCAUGCCUCAUGGGUAAGAUGACCAAGACUCCGUUCUCCGGAACAAUGGAGCGAGCAACCAACUUAUUGGAAAUCAUACAUACUGAUGUGUGCGGUCCAAUGAGUGUUGAGGCUCGCGGUGGCUAUCGUUAUGUUCUCACUCUCACUGAUGACUUGAGUAGAUACGGGUAUGCCUACCUAAUGAAACACAAGUCUGAGACAUUUGAAAAGUUCAAGGAAUUUCAGAAUGAGGUGGAGAAUCAACGUGACCGAAAGAUAAAGUUCUUACGAUCAGAUCGUGGGGGGGAAUAUUUAAGUCACGAAUUUGGCACACACUUAAGGAAAUGUGGAAUAGUUUCACAACUCACGCCGCCUGGAACACCUCAGCGAAAUGGUGUGUCCGAAUGUCGUAAUCGCACUCUAUUGGAUAUGGUGCGAUCUAUGAUGUCUCUUACCGAUCUACCGCUCUCAUUUUGGGGCUAUGCUUUAGAGACUGCCGCAUUCACUUUACAUAGGGCUCCGUCGAAACCCGUUGAGACGACACCGUAUGAAUUAUGGUUUGGGAAGAAACCUAAGCUGUCGUUUCUAAAAGUUUGGGGAUGCGAUGCUUAUGUCAAGAAACAUCAACCUGAAAAGCUCGAACCCAAAUCGGAAAAAUGCGUCUUCAUAGGAUACCCUAAGGAAACCAUUGGGUAUACCUUCUACCUCAGAUCCGAAGGCAAGAUCUUCGUUGCCAAGAACGGGUCCUUUCUGGAGAAAGAGUUUCUCUCGAAAGAAAUAAGUGGGAGGAAAGUGGAACUUGAUGAGGUGAUAGUCACCCCUUCCGAACCGGAAAGUAGCGCAGCGCGGGAAGAUGUUCCUGUGGUGCCUACACAGACUGGGGAGGAAGUUAAUGAUGAUGAUCAUGAAGCUUCGGAUCAAGUUACUGCUGAACUUCGUAGGUCCACAAGGACACGUUCCGCACCAGAGUGGUACGGCAACCCUGUCCUGGAAAUCAUGUUGUUAGACAACGGUGAACCUUCGAACUAUGAAGAAGCAAUGGCGGGCCCAGAUUCCGACAAAUGGCUAGAAGCCAUGAAAUCCGAGAUAGGAUCCAUGUAUGAAAACGAAGUAUGGACUUUGACUGACUUGCCCGAUGAUCGGCGAGCCAUAGAAAAUAAAUGGAUCUUUGAGAAGAAGACAGACGCGGAUGGUAAUGUGACCAUCUAUAAGGCUCGACUUGUCGCUAAGGGUUAUCGACAAGUUCAAGGGGUUGACUACGAUGAGACUUUCUCACCCGUAGCGAGGCUGAAGUCCGUCCGAAUCAUGUUAGCAAUUGCCGCAUUCUAUGAUUAUGAGAUAUGGCAAAUGGACGUCAAAACGGCAUUCCUUAACGGCUUCCUUAAGGAAGAAUUGUAUAUGAUGCAGCCGGAAGGUUUUGUCGAUCCUAAGAAUGCUGACAAAGUAUGCAAGCUCCAGCGCUCAAUCUAUGGGCUGGUGCAAGCAUCUCGGAGUUGGAACAUUCGCUUUGAUGAGAUGAUCAAAGCGUUUGGGUUUACACAGACUUAUGGAGAAGUCUGUGUUUACAAGAAAGUGAGUGGGAGCUCUGUAGCAUUUCUCAUAUUAUAUGUGGAUGACAUACUAUUGAUGGGAAAUGAUAUAGAAUUCUUGGAAAGUAUAAAGGCCUACUUGAAUAAGUGUUUUUCAAUGAAGGACCUUGGAGAAGCUGCUUAUAUAUUAGGCAUCAAGAUCUAUAGAGAUAGAUCAAGACGCCUCAUUGGUCUUUCACAGAGUACGUACCGCCUCAUUGGUCUUUCACAGAGUACGUACCUUGACAAGAUAUUGAAGAAGUUCAAUAUGGAUCAGUCCAAGAAGGGGUUCUUGCCUGUAUUGCAAGGUGUGCAAUUGAGUGCGGCUCAAUGCCCGACCACGGCAGAAGAUAGAGCAAAGAUGAGUGUCAUCCCCUAUGCCUCGGCCAUAGGGUCUAUUAUGUAUGCCAUGCUGUGUACCAGACCUGAUGUAAACCUUGCCGUAAGUUUGGUAGGAAGGUACCAAAGUAAUCCCGGCAUGGAACACUGGCCAGCGGUCAAGAAUAUCCUGAAGUACCUGAAAAGGACUAAGGAUAUGUUUCUCGUGUAUGGAGGUGACGAAGAGCUCGUCGUAAAGGGUUACGUCGAUGCUAGCUUCGACACAGAUCUGGAUGACUCUAAGUCACAAACCGGAUACAUGUAUAUUUUGAAUGGAGGGGCAGUAAGCUGGUGCAGUUGCAAGCAAAGCGUCGUGGCGGGAUCUACAUGUGAAGCGGAGUACAUGGCGGCCUCAGAGGCAGCACAAGAAGCAAUCUGGAUAAAGGAGUUCAUUACCGACCUAGGGGUGAUUCCCAAUGCGUCGGGCCCGAUGACUCUCUUCUGUGACAACACUGGAGCUAUUGCCCUUGCCAAGGAGCCCAGGUUUCACAGGAAGACCAGGCAUAUCAAGCAUCGCUUCAACUCCAUUCGUGAAAAUGUUCAAAAUGGAGACAUAGAUAUUUGUAAAGUACAUACGGACCUGAAUGUAGCAGAUCCGUUAACUAAACCUCUCCCUAGAGCAAAACAUGAUCAACACCAGAACUCUAUGGGUGUUCGAUUCAUCACAAUGUAACUAGAUUAUUGACUCUAGUGCAAGUGGGAGACUGUUGGAAAUAUGCCCUAGAGGCAAUAAUAAAAUGGUUAUUAUUAUAUUUCCUUGUUCAUGAUAAUUGUCUAUUAUUCAUGCUAUAAUUGUGUUAUCCAGAAAUCGUAAUACAUGUGUGAAUACAUAGACCACAACAUGUCCCUAAUGAGCCUCUAGUUGACUAGCUCGUUGAUCAACAAAUAGUCAUGAUUUCCUGACUAUGGACAUUGGAUGUCAUUGAUAACGGGAUCACAUCAUUAGGAGAAUGAUGUGAUGGACAAGACCCAAUCCUAAGCAUAGCGCAAAGAUCGUGUAGUUCGUUUGCUAGAGCUUUUCCAAUGUCAAGUAUCUUUUCCUUAGACCAUGAGAUCGUGUAACUCCCGGAUGCCGUAGGAGUGCUUUGGGUGUACCAAACGUCACAACGUAACUGGGUGACUAUAAAGGUACACUACAGGUAUCCCUGAAAGUGUCUGUUGGGUUGACACGGAUCGAGACUGGGAUUUGUCACUCCGUAUGACGGAGAGGUAUCUCUGGGCCCACUCGGUAAUGCAUCAUCAUAAUGAGCUCAAUGUGACUAAGGAGUUAGCCACGGGAUCAUGCAUUAUGGUACGAGUAAAGAGACUUGCCGGUAACGAGAUUGAACAAGGUAUUGGGAUACCCACGAUCGAAUCUCGGGCAAGUAACAUACCGAUUGACAAAGGGAAUUGUAUACGGGAUUGAUUGAAUCCUCGACAUCGUGGUUCAUCCAAUGAGAUCAUCGUGGAACAUCUGGGAGCGAACAUGGGUAUCCAGAUCCCGCUGUUGGUUAUUGACCGGAGAGUCGUCUCGGUCGUGUCUGCAUGUCUCCCGAACCCGUAGGGUCUACACACUUAAGGUUCGGUGACGCUAGGGUUGUAGAGAUAUUAGUAUGUGGUAACCCAAAAGUUGUUCGGAGUCCCGGAUGAGAUCCCGGACGUCACGUGGAGUUUCGGAAUGGUCCGGAGGUAAAGAAUUAUAUAUAGGAAGUCCAGUUUCGGCCACCGGGAAAAUUUCGGGGGUCACCAGUAUUGUACCGGGACCACCGAAAGGGUCCCGGGGGUCCACCGGGUGGGGCCACCUAUCCCGGAGGGCCCCAUGGGCUGAAGUGGGGAGGGGAACCAGCCACUGGUGGGCUGGUGUGCCCCCCUUGGGCCUCCCCUGCGCCUAGGGUUGGAAACCCUGGGGAUGGGGGGGGCGCCCCACUUGGCUUGGGGGGCAAGCUACCCCCUUGGCCGCCCCCCUGGAGAUGGGAUCUCCCAGGGCCGGCGCCCCCCCAGGGACCCUAUAUAAAGGGGGGAGGGAGGGCAGCAGCACCCUAGCCCCUGGCGCCUCCCUCUCCCUCCUGUGACACCUCUCCCUCCCGCUUGCGCUUGGCGAAGCCCUGCCGGGAUCCCGCUACUUCCACCACCACGCCGUCGUGCUGCUGGAUCUCCAUCAACCUCUCCUUUCCCCUUGCUGGAUCAAGAAGGAGGAGACGUCUUCCCAACCGUACGUGUGUUGAACACGGAGGUGCCGUCCGUUCGGCGCUCGGUCAUCGGUGAUUUGGAUCACGACGAGUACGACUCCAUCAACCUCGUUCACUUGAAUGCUUCCGCUCACGAUCUACAAGGGUAUGUAGAUGCACUCCUCUCUCUCGUUGCUAGAUGACUCCAUAGAUUGAUCUUGGUGAUGCGUAGAAAAUUUUAAAUUUCUGCUACGAUCCCCAACAAUGGAGAUGCCCAUCGAUUGAUGUUAAUGCAAGGAGUAGGGAUUGCCAUGCAACGGAUGCACUAGAACUAUAAAUGCAUGAAAGCUCAACAAAAGAAACUAAGUGGGUGUGCAUCCAACUUGCUUGCUCACGAAGACCUAGGGCAUUUGAGGAAGCCCAUUGUUGGAAUAUACAAGCCAAGUUCUAUAAUGAAAAAUUCCCACUAGCAUAUGAAAGUGACAAAACAAGAGACUCUCUAUCAUGAAGAUCAUGGUGCUACUUUGAAGAACAAGUGUGGAAAAAGGAUAGUAGCAUUGUCCCUUUUUAUUUUCUUCUCUUUUUUUACUUUUUUUGGGCCUUCCUUUUUUUAUUUGGCCUUCCUCUUCUUCUUUUUGGGACAAUGCUUUAUGAAUGAUGAUCAUCACACUUCUAUUUAUUUACAACUCGAUACUAGAACAAAGUAUGACUCUAUAUGAAUGCAUCCGGCGGUAUACCGGGAUAUAAAUAAAGAGUGACAUGUAUGAAAAAUUAUGAACGGUGGCUUUGCCACAAAUACGAUGUCAACUACAUGAUCAUGCAAAGCAAUAUGACAAUGAUGAACGUGUCAUGAUAAACGGAACGGUGGAAAGUUGCAUGGCAAUAUAUCUCGGAAUGGCUAUGGAAAUGCCAUAAUAGGUAGGUAUGGUGGCUGUUUUGAGGAAGAUAUAAGGAGGUUUAUGUGUGAUAGAGCGUAUCAUAUCACGAGGUUUGGAUGCACCGGCGAAGUUUGAACCAACUCUCAAUGUGAGAAAGGGCAAUGCACGAUACCGAAGAGGGUAGCAAUGAUGGAAGGGUAAGAGUGCGUAUAAUCCAUGGACUCAACAUUAGUCAUAAAGAACUCAUAUACUUAUUGCAAAAAUCUACAAGUCAUCAAAAACCAAGCAUUACGCGCAUGCUCCUAGGGGGAUAGAUUGGUAGGAAAAGACCAUCGCUCGUCCCCGACCGCCACUCAUAAGGAAGACAAUCAAAGAACACCUCAUGUUUCAAAUUUGUUACAUAACGUUUACCAUACAUGCAUGCUAUGGGACUUGCAAACUUCAACACAAGUAUUUAUCAAUUUCACAACUACUCAACUAGUACAACUUUAAUAUCACUACCUCCAUAUCUCAAAACAAUCAUCAAGCAUCAAACUUCUCUUAGUAUUCAACACACUCAUAAGAAAGUUUUUUAAUAGUCUUGAUCACCUAACAUAUUAGGAUUAAUUUCCCAAUUUAAGCAAAUUACCAUGCUGUUUAAGACUCUCAAAAUAAUAUAAGUGAAGCAUGAGAGAAUAAUAGUUUCUAUAAAACAAAUCCACCACCGUGCUCUAAAAGAUAUAAGUGAAGCACUAGAGCAAAAAUUAUAUAGCUCAAAAGAUAUAAGUGAAGCACAUAGAGUAUUCUAAUAAAUUCCGAAUGUGUGUCUCUCUCAAAAGGUGUGUACAGCAAAGAUGAUUGUGGUAAACUACAAAGAAAAGACUCAAAUCAUACAACACGCUCCAAGCAAAACACAUAUCAUGUGGUGAAUAAAAAUAUAGCUCCAAGUAAGUUACCGAUGGAAGUAGACGAAAGAGGGGAUGCCUUCCGGGGCAUCCCCAAGCUUUGGCUUUUUGGCGUCCUUAGAUUAUCUUGGGGUGCCAUGGUCAUCCCCAAUCUUAGGAUCUUGCCACUCCUUGUUUCAUAAUCCAUCAAAUCUUUUACCCAAAACUUGAAACCUUCACAACACAAAACUUAACAGAAAUUCUCGUGAGCUCCGUUAGCGAACGAAAACAAAACACCACCUCAAGGUACUGUAAUGAACUCAUUCUUUAUUUAUAUUGGUGUUAAACCUACUGUAUUCCAACUUCUCUAUGGUUUAUAAACUAUUUUAUUAGCCAUAGAUUCAUCAAAAUAAGCAAACAACACACGAAAAACAGAAUCUGUCAAAAACAGAACAGUCUGUAGUAAUCUGUAACUAACGCAAACUUCUGGAACUCAAAAUAUUCAGCCAAAAUAGGACGACCUAGAAAAUUUGUUUAUUGAUCAGCAGCAAUUGGAAUCAAUAUUUUAUCACGUUCUGGUGAUUUUUAACAAUUGUUUUCGUGAACAGAAAGUUUCUGGAAUUUUCAGCAAGAUCAAAUAACUAUCAUCCAAGAAGAUCCUAUAGGUUUAACUUGGCACAAACACUAAUUAAAACAUAAAAACAAAUCUAACCAGAGGCUAGAUCAAAGAUUUAUUCCUAAACAGAAGCAAAAACAAAAAAACUAAAAUUAAAAUUGGGUUGCCUCCCAACAAGCGCUAUCGUUCAACGCCCCUAGCUAGGCAUAAAAGGAAGGAUAGAUCUAGGUAUUGCCAUCUUUGGAAGGCAAUCCAUAAGUGGCUCCCAUAAUAGAUUCAUAAGGUAAUUUAACUUUAUUUCUAGGGAAGUGUUCCAUGCCUUUCCUUAACGGAAAUUGGAAUCUAAUAUUCCCUUCCUUCAUAUCAAUGAUUGCACCAAUCGUUCUAAGGAAAGGUUUACCAAGAAUAAUAGGAUAUGAAGGAUUGCAAUCUAUAUCAAGAACAAUAAAAUCUACGGGCACAUAAUUCCUAUUUGCAACAAUAAGAACAUCAUUAAUUCUUCCCAUAGGUUUUUUAGUAGUGGAAUCUGCAAGGUGUAAGUUUAAAGAACAAUCAUCAAAUUCACGGAAUCCUAGCAAAUCACACAAAGUUUUUGGGAUCGUGGAAACACUAGCACUCAAAUCACACAAAGCAUAGCAUUCAUGAUCUUUAAUUUUAAUUUUAAUAGUAGGUUCCCACUCAUCAUAGAGUUUUCUAGGGAUGGAAACUUCCAACUCAAGUUUUUCUUCAUAAGAUUGCAUCAAAGCAUCAACGAUAUGUUUAGUAAAAGCUUUAUUUUGACUAUAAGCAUGAGGAGAAUUUAGCACGGAUUGCAAUAAGGAAAUACAAUCUAUCAAAGAGCAAUUAUCAUAAUUAAAUUCCUUGAAAUCCAAAAUAGUGGGUUCAUUGAUAUCUAGAGUUUUGAUCUCUUCAAUCUCACUUUUACCAAAUUUUGCAUUAAGAUCUAAAGACUCUGAAUUUUUGGAACGCCUUCUAGGUAAAGUGGAUCAUAUUCAGUCCCAUCAUUAUCAAGAUUCAUAUUGCAAAACAAAGAUUUAAUAGGGGACACAUCAAUAACUUUUAGAUCUUCAUCUUUAUUUUCAUAGAAACUAUCCGAUUUAGCGGCCAUCUUAUUAACUAAGGUGGCCUGCUUAUCCGAGAUUUCAGCAACUAAUUUUUCGAGAUGAGCAAUCUGAGAUUUCAAACCAUAAAAUUCCUUAGACAUAUCGUCGAGCUCUUUAUUCAUGUAACCCAUAAAGCUUUUUUGUUCUUUAAGCUCGUUUCUAAAGAAAUUGUUAUGCUCAAACUGUAAAGUCAUGAAACUUCUAACGUUGCUUUCAAUCUCUUCUAACCUUUUAAGGUGAAGAUCACCAAAUCUAGGUAGAGCCAUCGUGACAAGCAAGCAGUCCAACACACGAGCGAACAAGAAGCAAGCGAAAAAGAGGCAAACGGAAAAGAGAGGGCGAAUAAAACGGCAAGGGUGAAGUGGGGGAGAGGAAAACGAGAGGCAAAUGGCAAAUAAUGUAAUGCAGGAGAUAAGAGUUUGUGAUGGGUACUUGGUAUGUUGACUUUUGCGUAGACUCCCCGGCAAUGGCGCCAGAAUUGGCUCGUUGACGGGAAAUCAAAUCUUGACUUGACUUGGCGCGAAUCUCCCCGGCAACGGCGCCAGAAAUCCUUCUUGCUACCUCUUGAGCACUGCGUUGGAUUUCCCUUGAAGAGGAAGGGUGAUGCAGUAAAGUAGCGUAAGUAUUUCCCUCAGUUUUUGAGAACCAAGGUAUCAAUCCAGUAGGAGGCCACGCAUAAGUCCCUCGCACCUACACAAACAAAUAAAGCCUCGCAACCAACGCAAUAAAGGGGUUGUCAAUCCCUUCACGGUCACUUACGAAAGUGAGAUCUGAUAGAUAUGAUAAGAUAAUAUUUUUGGUAUUUUUAUAAUAAAGAUGCAAAGUAAAAUAAAAGCAAAAUAAACGGCACCAGAAAUAGCUUGUUGUCGGGAGAUUAAUAUGAUGGAAAAUAGACCCGGGGGCCAUAGGUUUCACUAGUGGCUUCUCUCAAGAGCAUAAGUAUUACGGUGGGUGAACAAAUUACUGUUGAGCAAUUGAUAGAAUUGAGCAUAGUUAUGGGAAUAUCUAGGUAUGAUCAUGUAUAUAGGCAUCACGUCCGUGAUAAGUAGACCGACUCCUGCCUGCAUCUACUACUAUUACUCCACACAUCGACCGCUAUCCAGCAUGCAUCUAGAGUAUUAAGUUCAUAAGAAUAGAGUAAUGCUUUAAGCAAGAUGACAUGAUGUAGAGGGAUAAACUCAUGCAAUAUGAAAUAAACCCCAUCUUGUUAUCCUCGAUGGCAACAAUACAAUACGUGCCUUGCUGCCCCUACUGUCACUGGGAAAGGACACCGCAAGAUUGAACCCAAAGCUAAGCACUUCUCCCAUUGCAAGAAAGAUCAAUCUAGUAGGCCAAACCAAACUGAUAAUUCGAAGAGACUUCCAAAGAUAACCAAUAAUAUAUAAAAGAAUUCAGAGAAGAUUCAAAUAUUGUUCAUAGAUAAACUUGAUCAUAAACCCACAAUUCAUCGGUCUCAACAAACACACCGCAAAAGAAGAUUACAUCGAAUAGAUCUCCACAAGAGAGGGGGAGAACAUUGUAUUGAGAUCCAAAAAGAGAGAAGAAGCCAUCUAGCUAAUAACUAUGGACCCGAAGGUCUGAGGUAAACUACUCACACAUCAUCGGAGAGGCUAUGGUGUUGAUGUAGAAGCCUUCCGUGAUCAAUGCCCCCUCCGGCAGGACGCCGGAAAAGGCCCCAAGAUGGGAUCUCACGGGUACAGAAGGUUGCAGUGAUGGAAUUAGGUUUUCGUGGAUGCCUCUGUUGGUUUGGGGGUACGUAGGUAUAUAUAGGAGGAAGAAGUACGUCGGUGGAGCAACUUGGGCCCCACGAGGGUGGAGGGCGCGCCCAGGGGGGUAGGCGCGCCCCCUACCUCAUGCCCUCCUGGUUGCUUUCUUGACGUAGGGUCCAAGUACUCUGGAUCACGUUCGUUCCGAAAAUCACGUUCCCGAAGGUUUCAUUCCGUUUGGACUCCGUUUGAUAUUGUUUUUCUGUGAAACUCUGAAAUAGGCAAAAAAACAGCAAUUUGGGCUGGGCCUCCAGUUAAUUGGUUAGUGCCAAAAAUAAUAUAAAAGUGUAUAACAAAGCCCAUUAAUCAUCCAAAACAAAAUAUAAUAUAGCAUGAAGCAAUCAAAAAUUAUAGAUACGUUGGAGACGUAUCACAGGGCUUCGCCUAAGCACUACAACGAUAUGACCGAGGUGGAAAUCUGUGGAGGGGGCACCGCACACGGUUAAACAAUCAACUUGUGUGUGUCUAUGGGGUGCCCCCUCCCCCGUAUAUAAAGGAGUGGAGGAGGGGAGGGCCGGCCCUCUCUAUGGCGCGCCCAAGGGGGAGUCCUACUCCCGCCGGGAGUAGGAUUGCACCCCUUCCCUAGUUGGAUUAGGAGAGGAAGGAGGGAGGAGAGAGGGAGAAGGAAAGGGGGGCCGGGCCCCCUCCCAAUUCGGAUUGGGCUUGGGGGGGGCGCCCCCACCUUGGCCGCCUCCUCCUCUCUCCCACUAAGGCCCAUUAAGGCCCAUGUACUCCGGGGGGUCCGGUAACCUCCCGGUACUCCAGUAAAUGCCCGAACUCACCCGGAACCAUUCCGAUGUCCAAACAUAGCCAUCUAAUAUAUCGAUCUAUAUGUCUCGACCAUUUCGAGACUCCUCGUCAUGUCCGUGAUCACAUCUGGGACUCCGAACAACCUUCGGUACAUCAAAACACAUAAACUCAUACUACCGAUCGUCACCGAACGUUAAGCGUGCGGACCCUACGGGUUCGAGAACUAUGUAGACAUAACCGAGACUCAUCUCCGGCCAAUAACCGAUAGCGGAACCUGGAUUCUCAUAUUGGUUCCUACAUAUUCUACGAAGAUCUUUAUCGGUCAAACCGCAUAAUAACAUAUGUUGUUCCCUUUGUCAUCGGUAUGUUACUUGCCCGAGAUUCGAUCGUCGGUAUCUCAAUACCUAGUUCAAUCUCGUUACCGGCAAGUCUCUUUACUCAUUCCGUAAUGCAUCAUCCCGUAACUAACUCAUUAGUCACAUUGCUUGCAAGGCUUAUAGUGAUGUGCAUUACCGAGAGGGCCUAGAGAUACCUCUCCGAUACUCGGAGCGACAAAUCCUAAUCUCGAUCUAUGCCAACUCAACAAACACCAUCGGAGACACCUGUAGAGCAUCUUUAUAAUCACCCAGUUACGUUGUGACGUUUGAUAGCACACUAAGUGUUCCUCCGGUAUUCGGGAGUUGCAUAAUCUCAUAGUCAUAGGAACAUGCAUAAGUCAUGAAGAAAGCAAUAGCAACAAACUAAACGAUCAAGUGCUAAGCUAACGGAAUGGGUCAAGUCAAUCACAUCAUUCUCUAAUGAUGUGAUCCCAUUAAUAAAAUGACAACUCAUGUGUCAGGACCCCGAUUCCAAAUCACACCGAUCUAGCCUGUAACACCUCAUAUAACAUUGCGGCCUCACGCACGGUACUCCCACGGGUGUCGCCUUACCAUGGCCCGGGACCGUUUGCGCCUGUUGGCUCACGUAUAUGAUAAUGUCGCUAGCAUCCAUAUGAUAGAGAACCUAGGCCGACAUGGCUAGUCGUGAACCCAAAGCGGCACUAACGUAUGGGGACAGGCAUACAUGAAUCAACAUCGAACGUGUCGGUCAGCAGCGUGUGAGUCCGGGCUGUAGCACUGGGCUAACAGGACUCCGGGAACCCGGGCUGUAGCAGGCUAGGCAGGACUCCGGAUGUCACCGCGUGACAUUUCCCCGAAGGGACAGACACAGGAACGAUAUGAUUCACAUGCCGGCCAGUCAGGUGUCCAGAGCAGUAGUGCUGGGCUAGCAGGACUCCGGUGAACCGGGCUGUAGCGGACUACUAUGGCUCAAGGAGGCACCAGACUACAUUUCCCCAUAAGAGAGGCUGCUAAAGAUAAACAACUAGAUUGUCGGAUCCCACACAUACCAAGCAUUUCAAACAUACACACAAUAUGCUCGAUAUGUGCAAAUACAACAUGGCAUCACAACAAAACUCUACAACUCAAGUACUUUAUUUAAGGGGCUCCGGAGAGCCUUACAUAACUUGUUCAUACAGAUAGGGGUCACACGACCCGACACUCAAGUCAUACAAUCAUACAAGCACAUGCGGAAGCAAACUGUCUGGGUACAGACACUAGAAAGAAAGAAGGCUUGACGAAGCCUGUCUAUCUACAUAGGCCCUUCACAAGCCUAGAUCACCACCUGGGUGGCGCGUCACUCGUCGUCGUCGAGUUCUACGUAGAACCCGUCAGAAGGGGCGGUGUUGUCGUCUGAAAACAGUAAUUAAAGCAACAUGAGUACAAAGGUACUCAGCAAGUCUUACAACAGAUCCUACUAUACAUGUUCAUUCUCAAGAAGGUAGUGGGGUUAUUGUAGCAAGCCAGCUUUGACUCUUGGCUAAGCUAUCCUACGAUACACCACUUGUGAAAUAGUUUUCGCACACGAGUCCACUAAUCACCAUCUCAAUACUCCACCGUGGAUCCUCCCUCGUCAUCCAACGAGAGGGCCAUCCGCGGUACUCACACUUAUCUUGAGGCUUUUAGUAGUAUCCAUUUACUUGUCUAUGAACUGCAUAAGCGACCAAGUAGUCCUUUACCGCGGACGCGGCUAUUCGAAUAGUUUCAUACCCUGCAGGGGUGUACUUCGUCACACACGCUCUCACCACUUAUCGUCGCUACACGACGUGUACUCGGCAACCUUCAAGCGGAAGCCCAACGUGGGUGUCGGCCACAGCCUACCUAAACACUCGAGUCUCUAGUCUAGGUUUAUCGCCUAUUUAGGUUCCAUCCGCAGGGAGUCUGGCCGAGGUUUCCACAUACGGCCCCAAACGAUGUGUGCAGGGUUCUCGGACACCAAACGGGCGACUCGGUACACCGUGCCACGAGCCUACCGCAUCACAGCCCACCCCUUGGUCAGCGAUGUCCACGGCCUCCAGCUUACUACAAACACCAGAAACUACGUGCAACUCCUGGACAGAGGACAAGGGUGAAUAAGAAGCCGAGGGGGUCCAUUGGUUUCGGGCCCAAUGUGUGGUAGUAGCUGAAUCUUAAAUCACACAUACAGAUCUCAGUUCUUAGGGACGGUCUCAAUGAAACAACCCACCAUGUACUCCUACAUGGCCUCCCAUCGAUACCUUUACCAAAUCGUAUUCAACACUUUACUCCCUUUACCGACACACACACUUUCACUCUAGUUCAUCACCCUGAUGAGCCAGACCUGACACAACUCUAAGCAUAGCAAGCAUAGCAUUGUAGGAACACACAACAUGGCUCAAUCAACUCCUACACAUGCUAGUGGGUUUCAUCUAGUUACUGUGGCAAUGAUAGGUCAUGCAAAGGAAAGUGGGUUCAACUACCGCAACACACAGCAGUUUGAAUCGCGUUGUCUUAAUGCAGUAAACGAGAGCAGAAGCGAGAAGAUGGGUUUGUAUCGAAAUGAUCAAUGGGUUGCUUGCCUGACGGAGUGGUGGUGGGAUACUGCCCUUCAGUUGGAUACUCGUGAAUAUCCUCGGAGGCAGGACCUACCACGAUGAGCAUACCGAAGCACAAUCAACACCAAGCAAGUGCAACAAUAUGAUGCAUGCAUGAGACAUGGCAAGAUGGAUGUGUUGGGCUAAUGCAACUAAGACCAGAUGGGUUUGGACUAAUUUGAAUCAAAGAUUCAAAUUCCAAGUUCAUAAAUGGCCCAUAUUAAUGCUUUAUCUUGUUCUGUAUAAAACAGUAGGUUAACUUGCUUAAUCAUGCAUGAAACCAGUACAGAUGGAUAGAAUGGAUUUUUCUGAUCAUUUUUCAUAUAUAAAUCUUUUCAUUCUGAGCUAUAGAUUAUUUUCUAUGAUUUUUUGAAGUUUGUGAUAAUUUCUGGAAUUUUCAAUAUAAGAAUAAUUCAAGUAAAUGCUUUACUGCGUCAGCCUGACGUCAGUGUGACGUCAGCAAGUCAACGGGGUCGUCCAGGUCAAACCUGACGUGUGGGUCCCCUGUGUCAGUGUCACUGUUAGGUAAUUAGUUAUUUAGAAUUAGUUUUAACUCUAACCCAGAUUUAUUUAGCAGGCGGGCCCCACUUGUCAGUGACCCUGGGGGGUCAACCCGUGGUCAAACCACGCUGACUCGCCGGCGUUUAGCCGCCGGCGACGUCCAGACGCGGCGGUGGAGUGCGGGUUCCCUCCUCCGGCGACCAAAAGGACGGCGGAGAGUACCUACGUGUAGCUGGGGGCGAGCCGCGUCGACUGGUGGUGGUAGUGGAGCUCGGGGUCGCCGGAAUCGACGCCGGCGACGAGCCGUGCGGCUGCCGGGGUACGGGCGUGGUUGAAACCGUAUCUAGAGAGCAUGGCGAGGAACGUGCGAGGGUGCUACGGGUUCCUGGCGUUGCGGUGAAGCUAAUGGCUACGGUGGUGUGGCCGUUGGAUGGCCGGAGCCUCGUCGGCGACGAGCUCGUGCGGUGGCGCGUACGGGUGAGCUUCGUGCGGUGGCUACAGAGCUCGAGAGAGAGAGGAGAGGAUGGGAAGGUGGCCAUGCUCACGGCAGUUGCGACGGAGCAGGCGGCGAGGUCGGAGACGAGCUGUAGCAGUGGCGACGGCGGAGGGGAUCUCCGACGGUGAGCGGCGAAGGCGAGGUCGGUGGCGGAGCUUCGGGGCAACCGAGCGCUCGGGGCUCGGCUUGCUCGAAGGAGUGGGCGACAGCGGUGCGGUAGGACACGGUGGUACGGCGCGAGGUCGACGGUGGGCGCGGCUACUCCGGUGAGGUGGCUGCGGCGGCGUCGGCCAUGGUGGGAAGAAAGGCGAGGGAGAGGCGAUGGGGGAGAAUGGCGAUGUCCAGGGGCUCGGGGCGCGUCGAGGGAGGUCGGCCAGCUCAUCCGCGGCGAGGGCGGCAAGCAGGUGGCGCGGUGGCGAGCUCGCGCUCGCCGGCGUCACCUCUCUGCCUGCUCUGGCGAGAGCAGGCAGCUGACUGGCGCGGGCCAGCACAGUGCUGGGCCGCCAGGUGGGCUGCCAGGUAAGUUUCUCUGCCUUCUAUUCUUUUCUCUUUUUAUUUAUUUCUGUACUGUGUUUUGAAAUAGUAAAAAUACUAUUUCAUUUGGAAAAAUCCUGAAAAUAUUCUGGGGCACCUUUGAGAUUAUUCCCAACAGCCUAAAAAUACCUUCAAGAUUAUUUGGGCAUUUGAAAAUAUUUAUAGCAUUUAAAAUGCCCAAAUGCAAAUACUUAUGGCUUGUGCAAAAAUCCAAGAUGGCCUCCAAAAAUAUGAAACCAUUUUUGGCAGAGGUUUUAGCCAAGACCAAAGGUGGUGAACAUUUAUGGAGGGCAUUUCAGGUUCAUUGAAAAGAAUUUUAGUAAAGCCUAGUUGUUCCAGGGGGGGUGCUGGGGGUUUCUGGCAUCCCCAUUUCAGGUUUCUGUGAAAUGUAGACAUGAUGCAACACUCUAAUGCAUGAACUAACUAGGAUGUGACAUCAUGUCUAUGGCAAGGAAACUUAACCAUCUUUGAUUCAACGAGCUAGUCAAGUAGAGGCAUACUAGUGACACUCUGUUUGUCUAUGUAUUCACACAUGUACUAAGUUUCCGGUUAAUACAAUUCUAGCAUGAAUAAUAAACAUUUAUCAUGAUAUAAGGAAAUAUAAAUAACAAUUUUAUUAUUGCCUCCAGGGCAUAUUUGCUUCAGUCUCCCACUUGCACUAGAGUCAAUAAUCUAGAUUACACAGUAAUGAUUCUAACACCCAUGGAGUCUUGGUGCUGAUCAUGUUUUGCUCGUGAGAGAGGCUUAGUCAACGGGUCUGCAACAUUCAGAUCUGUAUGUAUCUUGCAAAUCUCUAUGUCUCCCUCCUUGACUUGAUUGCGGAUGGAAUUGAAGCGUCUCUUGAUGUGCUUGGUUCUCUUGUGAAAUAUGGAUUCCUUUGCCAAGGCAAUUGCACAAGUAUUGUCACAAAAGAUUUUCAUUGGACCCAAUGCACUAGGUAUGACACCUAGAUCGGAUAUGAACUCCUUCAUCCAGACUCCUUCAUUUGCUUCUUCCGAAGCAGCUAUGUACUCCGCUUCACACGUAGAUCCCGCCACGACGCUUUGCUUAGAACUGCACCAACUGACAGCUCCACCGUUCAAUAUAAAUACGCAUCCGGUUUGUGACUUAGAGUCAUCCGGAUCAGUGUCAAAGUUUGCAUCGACGUAACCAUUUACGACGAGCUCUUUGUCACCUUCAUAAACGAGAAACAUAUCCUUAGUCCUUUUCAGGUAUUUCAAGAUGUUCUUGACCGCUGUCCAGUGAUCCACUCCUGGAUUACUUUGGUACCUCCCUGCUAAACUAAUAGCAAAGCACACAUCAGGUCUAGUACACAGCAUUGCAUACAUGAUAGAACCUAUGGCUGAAGCAUAGGGAAUGACUUUCAUUUUCUCUCUAUCUUCUGCAGUGGUCGGGCAUUGAGUCUGACUCAAUUUCACACCUUGUAACACAGGCAAGAACCCUUUCUUUGCUUGAUCCAUUUUGAACUUCUUCAAAACUUUAUCAAGGUAUGUGCUUUGUGAAAGUCCAAUUAAGCGUCUUGAUCUAUCUCUAUAGAUCUUGAUGCCCAAUAUAUAAGCAGCUUCACCGAGGUCUUUCAUUGAAAAACUCUUAUUCAAGUAUCCUUUUAUGCUAUCCAGAAAUUCUAUAUCAUUUCCAAUCAACAAUAUGUCAUCCACAUAUAAUAUUAGAAAUGCUACAGAGCUCCCACUCACUUUCUUGUAAAUACAGGCUUCUCCAAAAGUCUAUAUAAAACCAUAUGCUUUGAUCACACAAUCAAAACGUUUAUUCCAACUCCGAGAUGCUUGCACCAGUCCAUAAAUGGAUCGCUGGAGCUUGCACACUUUGUUAGCAUCCUUUGGAUUGAUAAAUCCUUCGGGUUGCAUCAUAUACAACUCUUCUUCCAGAAAUCCAUUCAGGAAUGCAGUCUUUACAUCCAUUUGCCAAAUUUCAUAAUCAUAAAAUGCAGCAAUUGCUAACAUGAUUCAGACGGACUUAAGCAUCGCUACGGGUGAGAAGGUCUCAUCGUAGUCAACUCCUUGAACUUGUCGAAAACCUUUCGCAACAAUUCGAGCUUUGUAGAUAGUAACAUUACCGUCAGCAUCAGUCUUCUUCUUGAAAAUCCAUUUAUUUCUAUGGCUUGCCGAUCAUCGGGCAAGUCAACCAAAGUCCACACUUUGUUCUCAUACAUGGAUCCCAUCUCAGAUUUCAUGGCCUCAAGCCAUUUCGCGGAAUCUGGGCUCAGCAUUGCUUCCUCGUAGUUCAUAGGUUCGUCAUGGUCAAGUAACAUGACCUCCAGAACAGGAUUACCGUACCACUCUGGUGCGGAUCUUACUCUGGUUGACCUACGAGGUUCGGUAGUAACUUGAUCUGAUGUUACAUGAUCAUCAUCAUUAGCUUCCUCACUAAUUGGUGUAAGAGUCACAGGAACUGAUUUCUGUGAUGAACUACUUUCCAAUAAGGGAGUAGGUAAACUUACCUCAUCAAGUUCUACUUUCCUCCCACUCACUUCUUUCGAGAGAAACUCCUUCUCUAGAAAGGAUCCAUUCUUAGCAACGAAUGUCUUGCCUUCGGAUCUGUGAUAGAAGGUGUACCCAAUAGUCUCUUUUGGGUAUCCUAUGAAGACACAUUUCUCCGAUUUGGGUUCGAGCUUAUCAGGUUGAAGCUUUUUCACAUAAGCAUCGCAGCCCCAAACUUUAAGAAACGAUAACUUGGGUUUCUUGCCAAACCACAGUUCAUAAGGUGUCGUCUCAACGGAUUUAGAUGGUGCCCUAUUUAACGUGAAUGCAGCCGUCUCUAAAGCAUAACCCCAAAAUGAUAGCGGUAAAUCAGUAAGAGACAUCAUAGAUCGCACCAUAUCUAGUAAAGUGUGGUUACGACGUUCGGACAAACCAUUACGCCAUGGUGUUCCGGGUGGCGUGAGUUGCGAAACUAUUCCGCAUUGUUUCAAAUGAAGACCAAACUCGUAACUCAAAUAUUCUCCUCCAUGAUCAUAUCGCAGAAACUUUAUUUUCUUGUUACGAUGAUUUUCCACUUCACUCUGAAAUUCUUUGAACUUUUCAAAUGUUUCAGACUUAUGUUUCAUCAAGUAGAUAUACCCAUAUCUGCUCAAAUCAUCUGUGAAGGUCAGAAAAUAAUGAUACCUGCCGCGAGCCUCAAUAUAUUCAUCGGACCACAUACAUCAGUAUGUAUGAUUUCCAAUAAAUCUGUUUGCUCGCUCCAUUGUUCCGGAGAACGGAGUUUUAGUCAUCUUGCCCAUGAGGCAUGGUUCGCAAGUACCAAGUGAUUCAUAAUCAAGUGAUUCCAAAAGUCCAUCAGAAUGGAGUUUCUUCAUGCGCUUUACACCAAUAUGACCCAAACGGCAGUGCCACAAAUAAGUUGCACUAUUAUUAUCAAUUCUGCAUCUUUUGGCUUCAAUAUAAUGAAUAUGUGUGUCACUACUGUCGAGAUUCAACAAAAAUAGACCACUCUUCAAGGGUGCAUGACCAUAAAAGAUAUUAAUCAUAUAAAUAGAACAACCAUUAUUCUCAGAUUUAAAUGAAUAACCGUCUCGCAUCAAACAAGAUCCAGAUAUAAUGUUCAUGCUUAACGCUGGCACCAAAUAACAAUUAUUCAGGUCUAAAACUAAUCCCGAAGGUAGAUGUAGAGGUAGCGUGCCGACGGCGAUCACAUCGACUUUGGAACCAUUUCCCAUGCUCAUCGUCACCUUGUCCUUAGCCAAUCUUCGCUUAAUCCGUAGUCCCUGCUUUGAGUUGCAAAUAUUAGCAAUAGAACCAGUAUCAAAUACCCAGGUACUACUGCGAGCAUUAGUAAGGUACACAUCAAUAACAUGUAUAUCACAUAUACCUUUGUUCACCUUGCCAUCCUUCUUAUCCGCCAAAUACUUGGGGCAGUUCCGCUUCCAUUGACCAGUCCCUUUGCAGUAGAAGCACUCAAUUUCAGGCUUGGGUCUAGCUUUGGGCUUCUUCAUGGGAGUGGCAACUUGCUUGCCAUUCUUCUUGAAGUUCCCUUUGUUUCCCUUGCCCUUUUACUUGAAACUAGUGGUCUUGUCAACCAUCAACAUUUGAUGCUUUUCUUGAUUUCUACCUUCGUUGAUUUCAGCAUCACGAAGAGCUUGGGAAUCGUUUUCGUCAUCCCUUGCAUGUUAUAGUUCAUCACGAAGCUUUUGUAGCUUGGUGGCAGUGAUUGAAGAACUCUGUCAAUGACACUAUCAACCGGAAUAUUAACUCCCAGCUGAGUCAAGUGAUUAUAAUACCCAGACAUUUUGAGUAUAUGCUCACUGACAGAACUAUUCUCCUCCAUUUUGCAGCUAUAGAACUCAUUGGAGACUUCAUAUCUCUCAAUCUGGGCAUUUGCUUGAAAUAUUAACUUCAACUCCUGGAACAUCUCAUAUGCUCCAUGACGUUCAAAACGUCGUUGAAGUACCGGUUCUAAGCCGUAAAGCAUGGCACACUGAACUACCGAGUAGUCAUCAGCUUUGCUCUGCCAGGCGUUCACAACGUCCGGCGUUGCUCCUGCAGCGGGUCUUGCACCUAGCGGUGCUUCCAGGACGUAAUUCUUCUGUGCAGCAAUGAGGAUAAUCCUCAAGUUAUGGACCCAGUCCGUGUAGUUGCUACCAUCAUCUUUCAACUUAGCUUUCCCCAGGAACGCAUUAAAAUUCAAAGGAAUAGUAGCACGGGCCAUUGAUCUACCACAACAUACACAUGCAAAAUACUAUCAUGUACUAAGUUAAUGAUAAAUUAAAGUUCAAUUAAUCAUAUUACUUAAGAACUCUCACUUAGAUAGACAUCCCUCUAAUCAUCUAAGUGAUCACGUGAUCCAAAUCAACUAAACCAUGUCCGAUCAUCACGUGAGAUGGAGUAGUUUUCAAUGGUGAACAUCACUAUGUUGAUCAUAUCUACUAUAUGAUUUAUGCUCGACCUUUUGGUCUCAGUGUUCCGAGGCCAUAUCUGCAUAUGCUAGGCUCGUCAAGUUUAACCCGAGUAUUCUGCAUGUGCAAAACUGGCUUGCACCCGUUGUAUGUGAGCGUAGAGCUUAUCACACCCGAUCAUCACGUGGUGUCUCGGCACGACGAACUUUCGCAACGGUGCAUACUCAGGGAGAACACUUGUACCUUGAAAUUUAGUGAGAGAUCAUCUUAUAAUGCUAUCGUCGAACUAAGCAAAAUAAGAUGCAUAAAGGAUAAACAUCACAUGCAAUCAAUAUAAGUGAUAUGAUAUGGCCAUCAUCAUCUUGUGCCUUUGAUCUCCAUCUACAAAGCACCGUCAUGAUCACCAUCGUCACCGGCGCGACACCUUGAUCUCCAUCAUAGCAUCGUUGUCGUCUCGCCAACUAUUGCUUCUACGACUAUCGCUACUGCUUAGUGAUAAAGUAAAAACAAUUGCAGGGCGAUUGCAUUGCAUACAAUAAAGCGACAACCAUAUGGCUCCUGCCAGUUGCCGAUAACUCUGUUACAAACAUGAUCAUCUCAUACAAUAAAAUUAAGCAUCAUGUCUUGACCAUAUCACAUCACAACAUGCCCCGCAAAAACAAGUUAGACGUCCUCUACUUUGUUGUUGCAAGUUUUACGUGGCUGCUACGGGCUGAGCAAGAACCGUUCUUACCUACGCGUCAAAACCACAACGAAUUUUCGUCAAGUGUGCUGUUUUAACCUUCAACAAGGAGCGGGCGUAGUCACACUCGAUUCAACUAAAGUUGGAGAAACUGACACCCGCCAGCCACCUGUGUGCAAAGCACGUCGGUAGAACCAGUCUCGCGUAAGCGUACGCGUAAUGUCGGUCCGGGCUGCUUCAUCCAAGAAUACCGCCGAACCAAAGUAUGACAUGCUGGUAAGCAAUAUGACUAUUAUCGCCCACAACUCUUUGUGUUCUACUCGUGCAUAUAGCAUCUAUGCAUAGACCUGGCUCGGAUGCCACUGUUGGGGAAUGCAGUAAUUUCAAAAAAAAAACCUACGCACACGCAAGAUCCAUCUAGGUGAUGCAUAAUAACGAGAGGGGAGAGUGUUGUCCACGUACCCUCGUAGACCGAAAGCGGAAGCGUUAUGACAACGAGGUUGAUGUAGUCUGCGUCUUCACGAUCCGACCGAUCCUAGUACCGAAAGUACGGCACCUCCGCGAUCUGCACACAUUCAGCUCGAUGAUGUCCCAUGAACUCUAGAUCCAGCUGAGUGUCGAGGGAGAGCUUCGUCAGCACGACGACGUGAUAACGGUGAUGAUGAAGUUACAGACGCAGGGUUUCGCCUAAGCACUACAACGAUAUGACCGAGGUGGAAAUCUGUGGAGGGGGGCACCGCACACGGUUAAACAAUCAACUUGUGUGUGUCUAUGGGGUGCCCCCUCAAUCGUAUAUAAAGGAGUGGAGGAGGGGAGGGUCAGCCCUCUCCAUGGCGCGCCCAAGGGGGAGUCCUACUCCCACCGGGAGUAGGAUUCCCCCCUUCCCUAGUUGGAUUAGGAGAGGAAGGAAGGAGGAGAAAGGGAGAAGGAAAGGGGGGCCGCCCCCCUCCCAAUUCGGAUUGGGCUUGGGGGGAGGGCGCCCCCACCUUGGCCGCCUCCUCCUCUCUCCCACUAAGGCCCAUUAAGGCCCAUGUACUCCCCGGGGGGUUCCAGUAACCUCCCGGUACUCCGGUAAAUGCCCGAACUCACCCGGAACCAUUCUGAUGUCCAAACAUAGCCAUCCAAUAUAUCGAUCUUUAUGUCUCGACCAUUUAGAGACUCCUCGUCAUGUCCGUGAUCACAUCCGGGACUCCGAACAACCUUCGGUACAUCAAAACACAUAAACUCAUAAUACCGAUCGUCACCGAACGUUAAGCGUGCGGACCCUACGGGUUCGAGAACUAUAUAGACAUGACGAGACUCAUCUCCGGUCAAUAACCAAUAGCGAAACCUGGAUGCUCAUAUUGGUUCCUACAUUCUACGGAGAUCUUUAUCGGUCAAACCGCAUAACAACAUACGUUGUUUCGUUUGUCAUCGGUAUGUUACUUGCCCGAGAUUCGAUCGUCGGUAUCUCAAUACCUAGUUCAAUCUCGUUACCGGCAAGUCUCUUUACUCGUUCCGUAAUGCAUCAUCCCGUAACUAACUCAUUAGUCACGUUGCUUGCAAGGCUUAUAGUGAUGUGCAUUACCGAGAGGGCCCAGAGAUACCUCUCCGAUACUCGGAGUGACAAAUCCUAAUCUCGAUCUAUGCCAACUCAACAAACACCAUCGGAGACACCUGUAGAGCAUCUUUAUAAUCACCCAGUUACGUUGUGACGUUUGAUAGCACACUAGUGUUCCUCCGGUAUUCGGGAGUUGCAUAAUCUCAUAGUCAUAGGAACAUGUAUAAGUCAUGAAUAAAGCAAUAGCAACAAACUAAACGAUCAAGUGCUAAGCUAACGGAAUGGGUCAAGUCAAUCACAUCAUUCUCUAAUGAUGUGAUCCCGUUAAUCAAAUGACAACUCAUGUCUAUGGCUAGGAAACUUGACCAUCUUUGAUUCAACGUGCUAGUCAAGUAGAGGCAUACUAUUGACACUCUGUUUGUCUAUGUAUUCACACAUGUACUAAGUUUCUGGUUAAUACAAUUCUAACAUGAAUAAUAAACAUUUAUCAUGGUAUAAGGAAAUAUAAAUAACAACUUUAUUAUUGCCUCUAGGGCAUAUUUCCUUCAAUCACAUCACUACUUGGCGUAGUCUUGUCUGAUCACGUGGCUUUGUUGUCAAAAAUAGGGAAGAUAUUCCAGCAUACAACUUUUAAAAGUUUGAGACUAGUUGGUACGUGAGGGAGGAUUGGAGAGAUAUUGCUCUCAAAGUGUGGUAUACACUCAACGAAGGAAAACAAACAAGCGUUGAUAAUUGACAAACCAAAAUAAGGAUUGCAAGACAAAUUUUUAAGUGGAUGGAAGGGAAUACAAGAAUAUUAAAAUAUGGUAUUUUUAAAGGAACAUGUGAGCUAUAUAAAAAAACUGAAUAAUGUUGGAAUGAUUUCGAAUGAAGAAAGUCCUUAGUGCACUUUAAAGUACAUGAAAUUCAAGAAAGAGAUGACAUGGUUGCAGAGGGAGAAGAGAAAGCGGUAAAGGAUGGUGAUAGAAAUACUAGGUAUUACCAUUCUAAAGCAGAUGGGAGAAGGAGAAAAGUUGGGAUAGUUUAUCUAGAGCAAGAAGGUGAAAUUUGAGGGGGUAAAGAACUCGACGAGUACAAACUUUUAUAGAAUAUCUUUUUGGACACUAUGUUCAAACUUCAUUGUCUUUUUAAAUGUUGAAGGAAUAACUGAGUUAACUAAUGUUGCAUCUUUGACACAACUCUUCACCAUGGAAUAGCUAAGAACAGUGGUGCUCGAUAUGGAUCAUAAAAAAAUCCCUAGACCUAAUGUAUUUAAUGAUAAGUUGCAUUUUUCCCCAAUGAUCUUGUCAAGUUUGAUCUUAAAUGAUGUUAGAUGAUAUUCAUGUUGAACUUUGGAGUCAUUAAUUUGGUGCCUAAAGGUAAAGAUGUUGUUUCAAUUCAAAGAAUUAGGCCCAUUUGGCUACUUUUUUGCGAUAUUUAAAAUUGUUAUAAAAGUGCCGACGAAUAUAUCAUCUUUAGUGGCUAGGCAACUUUUAUUGAAGAAGGAACAUCAUGAAAGGGGUGUGGUGCUACAUGGGACUCUCAACACUAUAAAAAAUCUGCUAUAAAUUUAAAAUUGUAUGGAAGGACCUAUGAUUGAAUAAAAUGACCAUUCAUAUAUAGAGUGGAUUUGAUGUCAUGGGGGAUAGCCCCCCCUCGUAUAUCCACCGUUCGUCCCUCCUAGAGAUAUGUGCAACAUGUGAAUAGUUACCUUCUUAAUCAGAAUGCAUGAAUAGUGAAAUGUAAUUAGUACCUUUGUCCUUUCCUGGCAUGGGAUGGUGCUGUGAGAUCAAAAGAAUGGAUAUUUAAAUGUGAUAGUGGAUAAGAACAGGCAUUUAAAGUCAAUGGAUAAUUAGCCUUGUUUCGCCGCAUUUAAUUGAGACGAGAGGAUACUUUUGUCACCAAUUAUUUUUCAUCUAGUUGCUAAUGGCCUUGCAUCUUAAUAAAAAAAGCUCAAGGUGUUGGUUGAUUAGAGGACUUGUACCUGUUUUAGGUGAAGAUGGGUUUGUUGUGCUAGAUAGUAAAACACAUAUCUAGAACAUCGAAGAGAAACUGAAAAGAAGUACUAACAUAUACACAAAUAGAUACCGGUAUUGCCACAAAAUUUUCAAUCAAAAUUCAAUCCAUAUCAUUAUAAACAAAAAAGAAAAUCCAACUAUGGAUAUCACCCAUUUCAAAUUUUUGAAUGGUGUCAUGGUUAUAGUAUUCGCUAUCACUUUCAUCUCUUUUUUCUUUCAAGAUAGUAUAUAGAUUAAUUUUGGAUUCAAAAUUUUGAAGCAUCGUAGAUGUUUGUUGUGUUAAUGUUUAAAAAAAUAGUUUUAUCUAUCAUUACUAAAAAAUAGUUAUCACUUAUCUAGCACAUUUUAAAAACCUCAACCAAAAUUAUAUUGACAAAAGAUGAAGAUCUACAAUACCAAGUUGUAUAAUAUGAAAAUUAAUUUCAUGAUGAUGUAUCUAAUGAUAUUGAUUUCAUUUUGUGUAUAUUGAUUUCAUUAAGUCAAACUUUAUGAAAUUUGACUGCAGACAAAUUUUAUAUACAAACUAAAAAUGAAUAGAGGGAGUACAUUACUAAACAUAUGUUCAGUCAGUGCACGAGUGAUUUUUCAUUUAUACUACCUUCGUCUGGGUUUAUUAGUCCCCAUCGUAUUUUGGGUCAAAGAUACCACAUAUUUGACAAACAAAAUGUUAACACACGUUAUAAAAAACUUGUUGGAUUUGUAUUUGAAUGUACUUUCAAUGAUAUUAAUUUUGCUAUGUAUGACUUAAAAUUUAGUUAAUUAAAAUCAUGGUCAAAGUAUGACCCAAAAUACAGGGACUAGUUUCUUUAGGGGUUUACAGGACUAGAUUUUUUUUUGAGGGGUACGGGAGUAGUAAAUGAGGAGGGAUAUUUUUUUUUUUUGAGACAAAUGAGGAGGGAUAUAGUGUAUGCCCGAGUGAUGGGCAUGCAAGUACGAAUGUCUGGUGAUUAGGCCCACAAUUAAUCCAUCACUUAAGUGACGGUGGUCCACCAACCAGGCCCGUAGACAAGGCCCACAAGUAUCAUGAAGCAGAGCAGCAGGAUUUCGCAAAUCAAAAAAUAAAAAUGGAAAUUUCGCUCAAAGCGAAAACCAAUCAAUCGAUUGGUCGCGGAAGGGAAGGAAAAGGGGAAAGGCGAGGGAAGUAGAGAAGAGAAAGCAAAGGCGAAGACGGGGAGCAGAAAACUCCACCCCGACGGAGGCCAUCCGGUUCGCUGCCGGCCCGCUCCUCCUCCUCCUCGCCGGCGUUCCCAAGGUACGCCCCCCCCCACUCCCGACCCCCCCGCUACGCCCCGCGCGAAUCCGCGCGAUUGCUAUUUCGCCCGGUCAAAUUCGGCGGCAGAUCCAUCUGCGCCCGAAACCAGAAUGUUUUCUCCGAGUGACGGGCGCAAUCUGCUCCCCCGAAUUUCAGAGGUCCCAUGGAGGAGGACGGCCCUAGCCGGAGCGGCCUGCCGCCGGUCGGGGAGUGCGAAUGGAGGGAGGAGCUGAGGCAGCAGCAGUCCCAGGUCGAGGCGCUGCGCGACCGGCUCGUGGAGGUCAAGGUCGGGAUGCGGCGCUCCGAGGACGAUUCCGGCCGGGAGCUCGAGCACCUGUGCCGCAGGGUCAAGACCAUCGCCACCCUGCUGGCGUACCUCAAAUCCAAGGCCAGGAUCAUGGCGAUACCGCACCUCGCGCACACGUCCUGCGGGAUCAGGAACCAGGACGGCGUGGGGUUCGUGGACCGGCACGGGGUGCCCCUGGCCGAUUGGUCCAAGGCCGCCGAGCCCGCUUCCUGUGGGGCAGGUUCGGAUGACCGGGCGGCUGCAGAGGGUAGCGGCGUUCACAAGCAUGGGGACGCCGUUGAGGGGGAUGGAGAUGUCGAUGAUAUUCUCAAGUCCAUCCGCGUGGUGACCGACGUCAUGGAGUCUCUUGUCAAGAGAGUGAUUGUGGCCGAGUCCGAAACUGCGAAUGAGAAAGAAAAGGUGAGGAUUGGGUUGGAAGAGAUCAGGAGGAAGACCAUUCAGGUCGAGUCCAUGUCGGUCAAAGUCGAGGAGAUGGAGAAAUUUGCAGUGGGUACGAACGGUAUGCUGAAUGAGAUGAGGCAGCGGGUUGAAGAUAUGGUGCUGGAGACCACUCGGCAGAGGCAGCGCGCUGCUGAAAAUGAGCAGGAGCUUAGUCGUGUGAAGAACGACUUUGAGUCGCUCAGAACUUAUGUCAGCACACUCGUUAGUGUCAGAGAAACUCUUCUUUCAUCGGAGAAGCAAUUCGAGACAAUGGAGAAGCUUUUUGACAGGUACUUUUGCAAGUCUUGUGUUGUUUCUUGUAAUUAUAUUCUGUCUGAAUGUAUCACCAUGUGUUAAUUUCCGUGGCAAAACUUGUAUAGCUUGGUACAGAAAACUAAAAAAAAA
rnacentral:lncRNA from 1 species